rnacentral:lncRNA from 1 species
GCCAGAAGCCUACAGAGAUUCCUUCCUAGUUGGGCCUCACAAAUCAUGACAUAAACCAAACUUGCUUGGGAUAACAGUGUUUGCAUCUAGUAAGGCACUGGUUUUUUCAGACUUCUGCCAUAUUCUUAGAAUUACCCUGCACUAUAUAUUUUUAUUUAAUUUUCUGGUGUACCUGUAAGUCCUCCCUCAAGUUAAAACAUGUCUGAAACUUGUAGAGUGAUAAAGGAAACCAUCACUUGCCAGCAGUUUUGCACUGAUCUCAGACAGCUGACUUUGGGUAGCUGCAGGUUCCCAACUUCCAUGUGAUUACAGUAUUCUGAUUGGUCUCAUCUACUGUACCAACUAUUUGCCUGCAAGAUUGUAAUCAGAUGAAUUUACCAAAUGGGUUUACAACAACUAUGUGCUGUAUAAACUUUUGUACCUCUCUUGAUUAUAAUCUAUUACACCGUUGCAUUGAUAGGAUACUUUCAGAAUUAACUGUUUACAGAAAAAUGUUGCAUAUUGGCUUAAUAAUUUCGUAGUAAAAUUGAAGGAAUACAGAGUCUGUUACGAAUUGAAAAUGCCGAACAUGCAUACACAUCACCUAUCGCAAACAAUAUUAGAAAUUGCGGCAAACAAAUGGCAAGGCCACUACAAAACAGUGGUCCCUCAUGCACUAUGAUCUGUAUAACUAUCUUAUCAGCAUAUGUUUACUACAUUAUCAUGUUACUCCUGCACAUUUGCUUUCCGAGACAGUUAAGUCCUUCUCUACAGUUCUUUGACUGUCAUUUUCUUUUGCACUUAGGCGCAUUGUCUCUUCUACUGACCAGUAUACACACUACAAGUGUGUGUAUUAGAAUAGAUUCUCUUUUCCAAAAAAAUUAGAAAAAUCUAUCGUGAAACAAAAUAAAGAUAGGUGCAUCCCAUGCUUGCAUGGAUGUGCAUGUGCUCGUUCUUGGUGCUGCUGAACCCUUAUUACCAGUCAAACAUUGGGAAGCUAUCUUAUCAUUAGGUUAAAACUUUGUAAAAGAUUAACCUUUUGGGUUAGCCACUUUAACCUGAUUGGGUUGGCAUAAAGCCUGCCUGGUAAUCCUAACCUACGUGCAAGGAUUUAUCCGGCUUUUCAUCAGUGAUGAUGAUGAUGGCAAGACAAGUGCACACCUAAAGUUCCCAAGGGCCUACACGCCUUUCAUUUUUUAUGGUUGCAGCAGGGCUUAUGAAUGUUGAUUGAUGCUGAUGCCCUCUUGCUGUCUAAUUUUCAAAAUGUUUGCAGUAGUAGCAGGAUGUUGACUGAGUCAGGAACCAGCGAAAAUUUCCGCAAAGGACCAGAAGUUAUGUUACCCCCUCCUAUCCGGAUCCGACAUUGUAUAGAGGCUGCGUCAUUUAAUUCGGAUCAGAGGGAGUACAUGAUUUCAUUCCAGUGAAGUGUGAGAGGAUAAUCAUAUAGGUUCGAUCUUACUUACCAAACGGCGUAAUAGAUCUUUCAUUAUUUGUUUUUCUCUGCAGCUGUGUUUUUGUAUGAAUGAGGCAAAACUUUGCCUCUGUUUCAGAAAGAAAAAAGAUGAACAUUCAGGACCCGCAAACUGAACAUUACUCCCUCCGUCCCAUAAUAUAAAAAUGUUUUGUACACUAGUGUACUGUCAAAAAUGCUCUUAUAUUAUGGGACGGAGGGAGUAGUUGGUAAUAGUUGUGGUGGCCACUCAAAAUGGUUUGGAACGCAUGCUUUGAAAUCUUUGUAGCGUGGGUGGUGGCACAACAUCUGUCCUGAGCCAACCAAUCACUGUCCUUCGAGGCAUUCUUGUCCAUUGACAAUGCGAUGGUACUACUAUGUGUACUAGAAACAGGAGAGGCUUUCUCCUUGGGUGAUUCAGAAGCCAUUGUUUGUUGUUUGGACAGCAAGGCCGACCCCCCAAAUAGGCCUAAAAUGAAAAAGGUAAAUAGGGCUACCAAAUGUAUGUUGCCUUUCCUGCUUAGGUUCAUAUCAUAAGGUCAUACUACUAAAAUAACAUCCCCUGUGUUUUGGUGACUCGAAAAGCCUAAGCAGAGCUAAUGCUACCACUAGCAUGCCCCAGGUUUGGCACACUCUAGUAGAGCCUAGUUAGUGGACAAGAUUUUCUCCCUAAUGCACACACUUUUGCUUACUUCACUCUCACAAGCAAAGGGCCCUGGUGACCCCUAGUGAUUGGCAUGCACAGUCCUCUGUUCUCAUUGAAAUUGUGUGUGACAUUGACAUGACCAAACCUAGGCCACACUAUUUUUUUUUUCCUUUACCGUCCUUGUGGAAACGCUUGAGGCAUUUGGUCAAAGAAAAACAUUGCUGAGUGGUCAGGGAUAUUCAAGUCGCAUGGUAGAUAGCAUCUGCAUAGUUUCUCAAGCCUUUGCUUCAUCAAAGUGGGGGCACCAACCUAGAAAACCCACAUCUCUCGCCCCCUAGUUUACUUGCUACUAGUUGCCUAAAUUAUCAUCUGAUAUGCAGUAGGUUUGCCCACUAAUUUGAAAGAUCAACAAGAGCCAUGUCAACACUAAUUAGUCCAUUGAUUUCUUGAGUGCUGCAAUACUACUACUCACUAGAGCUCAUCACAGCUGGCCUCUUUUCUUAUCUUCUCUCUCCUUGGGACUGGGGAACCUGAAUUCAAGGCUGGGUUUACGCAUACAUGCAUGCAUGCAGGGUCCUGCAGCAAGCAAACCAUGAUAUGACGUGUCCUGGGUUUGUUUGAUCUGUGACACAUACCUGCUGGCCGGCUGGCUCGCAAUCCAUAAUGGCGCGUCCAAGAGAAACCCUCGGCUCAAAGGCAGCAAGGACGGGCCUGUACCGUGUACAACGCUUGUCCAUGGCAGAGUUGUUGGACGCAAGGCCGGGCGGGCUUGUACAGCCUUCAAUGCGGCGUGCCGGCCUGCCAAGGACCGUCCGUCCGUCGGUCACAGUAGGUAGAUCGACACCGCCAAGCCCUCAUUUUAGCCACUGCUGCUGCUCAAACAAGAAUGAAUGAUGUGUUCUUGCUGCUGCAUCUGGAAGCUUGGAGUUCAUACUGGAAUAUGUAUGUAUGAUCCGUCUCUCCAUCGUUUUCAGGCGCGACCUUUUGUCUGGAUCAUCCAUGGGCAGCUACUGAGGUGGUGGUCCAACGCUCCUUGAUCUUAGUGAGUUGAGGCCAAAUCUUGGCAUCUUCCCUUCGCGUAUAUAUUCAAAUGUGUAGCAAAUGGUAGUAAAUUAAACUGGAUCUAGGUAUGUGAAUGGGGACGGACGAUGCGUGCAGGACUGGCACUGUUGCGGUGCUCCAAAACAUCGGCCCUUGAAUCGUGCGCUCUUGUUCACGUAGCCUUCAACACGUAUGUUUAUGUCAUUUGUAUAUGUCGUGGCUGUCAAAUAUACAUGUGGUUAUGCAACCUGCUCCUGGAUGCCGACAGUUUGUCCUAGUUUGCGAGCAGAAGCACAUAUAUUGUGCAGGUAUUGCAGGCCCCUAUGGAACCAACGAAAUGGAGAGACUGAAUUUUUUUCUCAUAUGAUUAAGUUUUCAAAUUCCUAUAUCAAUAGAGAGAUUAAAUUCCAUGGCAUUUUGAGUAAAGGAAAUAUUGCCGUCAUUUUGAUCUGUCAAGUGUUGAGAUACAUCAAACUAAGAAAAGAGAAGGUGUUGAGAUACAUUAUGGAUGUGUCAGUAGGCACUGGAAGUAUUACGUUGACAAGAUGCUAUAGAUUAGCUCCAUGAUUCUUGAGUAGAUGCCAUGGCGUGUCCGUAUUAUGUCUGCUAAUUCGCAUAUGGCUACGUUUUCCCUGGUGGAUUUGGGGCCCUGGCCCCGCGAGGAUUAGCGGCCAGGCCAGGUGUUUUGUCUCAUCCCUCGGUACAUUCUGCAGAAGAAAUGCAGCGUUUUCUGUUGGCUGGAUUAAGGAUUUUCUGGGGAGAUGAUGCUGGGAGGUGGUUGAGAUUACACUGUCAACAUAUCCAUUAUCCAGUUUUUUAAUGUGUAGUCUGCAGCCUGCCUCUUUGAGAUCUUUAUUCGGUUCUAGGGUUUCCCUACCAUCUUAUAUAAUUUCUUGUGUGGAAAACUUUGGCGCAAGCCUGCUUUGGUUGCCAGAUGGAGUUUGUGGAUAGAGAAAGCCACAUUAUGAACCAAACCGUUCAUUAUUCCUUCCUUUUCUUGCCCCUUUCUGCCAAAUCAGACGUACCAAUGCAAUCACAACUGAUAAUACGUGGGCCAAAAUGCUAUUUAGUAAUGUAAGCACAAGCUAAUAGGCAAUGACGUCACGAUGAUGGAGGUGAUCUCACACUGAGUAAGAUCUCACAUCUUCAUCGUAGUAUUGGUGUGAUUAUCACGGAUUAUGCCAUGGAGCCUGUGGUAUUUUGGUCCAGUACGUGAACCAAAGGCUUGAUUUGGCGGAUGGUCAUGGCCGCGUUGGUGGGAUCACUUAUGUUGAGCUUGUUUUGGUAGCAUUUGUCCAAGCUCAUCCUUUUGUGCUCUCGGAUUUCUUUCGUAAAAGGGCAACGAUAAAGCAGUAGUUCAACAGUCUAUAUUAAGAGGAGUGAAGAAUCAAGAUUUUUAUUUGCGGGUGACUGAAGAAUCAAGAUGGUCAACUAGAACCGGGGGAGAAAGCGGGCGGGGUAGGUGACCACAAAUAUUUACUCACUUCAUCCCAAAAUGUAAGACGUAUUUUGACACUACCCAAAUGUAAGACGUUUUUUGAUACUAGUGUAGUGUCAAAAAUCCUCUUACAUUAUGGGACGGAGGGGGUAACUUUUUAGGUUUUGUGUAUAAGUAGGUUCUCUUGAUACGAAGCAGGAUAAACAUCAAGGUAAACAAUCACAAGUGACAACUUCUCCUUGAAAAUGCCACACCAAGUAGGAGCUCAAUCCCUAGUGUUUGGCUUUGAAGUGACCAUCAAACCUUCACAAACGCUUCCCAGAGCCUUUCAUAAUGUUGGAAGUUCUGGAAUGGACUCCUAUCACCUAGGAGUCCCCACAACUCCAAGUAACACAUUCGGUGAAGCGCAAGUAGGAGAUCAUGAUUUUGGCUCGAGACAAAUAGUGGAUAUAGUAGACCUCCUUUGAUUUCCUACAGUUUGUGCAAGUUUGGUUGGUGGGAGAGGGAGGAAGCAAGCUUUUUAAAGAUCAACAAUGGGAUGCAACUCAUAUCCAGAAACCAGAGCUGGAGGUAGAAGAAGGAGUGGUUUUUAUAGCUCCGCCACCAUUUUCAACUAUUAUUCACUGAAACAACCAAACAUGGAGUUUCAGCAUUCACAACAUGGAGAUUUGGGGUGACCAGAGGUGAAACACCCAAACCCGAAGAUAAAAUCUAGAGAUCGAGGUUUCAACUCUGAGGCAUACAAUAGCAAAACCAAGAUCUCGAAAAUCAAACCUGGAGUUUUGGUCUUUGCCUCCAGCCUAUCUGGAGAGCUGCAUAGAGGGAAAUAUUAGGGUUUUCUUUGUGUAGGCUUAGUGCUUGUAUUUUUGUGGUGGCUACAUGUGUAUGUUUUUCAUGAUCCACCAACUUCAACACCACCUCAACCCUCUUUAUAGUGUGAUUUUCCUCUGACUCAAAUAACCCAAAACUCCAGGAACAUAAAAUGGCGCCAACACCUUUCCCCUUUUUGAUUCGGGGGAGGAGGGGCUCACCUCCAUAUAUUCCAUUUAUUGGGACUAUGUAUCUAUAGAUCACUCGGUUAGACCUAACCAGGGGCUUAGAUAUCUUUUCAAAGAGUGUGUCAGUCGCAUUAUGUUUAAUAAUCUUACGUUCACACCCUUGGCGUGGGUGGUUAACAUAGAACCUCAACAGCUUUGAGGUCAAUCCAAGUUGUCAAGCUUGUUCUUUUGUAAUUUUUGUCAUCAAGCAAACACACAUAGGCAAAAGCUAGUGUUAUAGAUACACUAAAACAAACCUUUAUAUAACAUUGGGAUUUAUCAGUUUUCUCUUUAUUUGCGUUUGGCCCAGUUUGUUUUAUCUAUGUUAAUGUAUCUAUUUAUUCUAUAAAUCUAGAUCGUUGUUCCAAAAAGAAAAUAGAUGAUGCAAUUUAUAGGGAGUUACGAAAACAUUUCUUGGGGAAAAUGUGAAGUAUUUAUGGAGAGAAGUUCUACUAUGUUUGUGAUGAUACCAUGCUACUAACUAUAAGUGCAUCUAGUGCCCCUUUGUGGUUUGCAGUAUUGAUGACAAAAGUGGUUAAGGGACUAAUGUUUUUGUGAGUAUACACAAGUGAAAGUCUCUAAAGAUUUGUUUUAACCAUUGUAAGUGACCCCUAAAAAUGUGGAGAAACAUUGAAGAUUCGGUGUGCCAUCCUUGAAUAAUUAGGCAAAGAACUGGAUCGUGAAGACUUACGACGCGUUUGUUUCGGAGAAAAUCCGGGGUUUUCGAUUGCAGCGAUUUCAGAAAACGGAAGCCAUCGUUUGUUUCGCCCACGAUUAUUUCCAUAGCCGUGCUUUCCGAUACAACAUUUCACAAAAUUGAAAUCGCCGGAAUCUGACGUUACUAGAGAUCGAAGUGCGAUGGCACAAACCAAACAAAUCACAGAUUGCGUAAAAAUAAAUGGAAGCAACACUUCCCGAUACGAGAAAUCGAAUAUGUUACCUGGCCGGAACCAAACGCGUCAUUAGUCUUUUUCAUAGUUCUUUCUAUUCUUCAUUCAGUCAUAGGGAAACCAUACUGUUAAGGGGGGGGGGGUCAAGGUAUACGAAGUUAGUGUUUUUGAAGUGUCCCCAAUCCUGUUGAUUAUUUCGAGAACUUUGGAAAUCUCUUGCAGUGCAGUUCUUUUUCGUCCGUGUCUGAGAUGAUAUUCUUUCGGCCGCAGUAGUCAAAGUCCUCACUGAGGAGUUAGGAAACCAACAAUUUGUUUCUCCUACCCUAAGGAAAUUGAGAGUUUAAAAUUUUGAUUGUUGCCUCGCUGGUGACAACUAGGUGACGGGCCCGUCCCGUCCAAUGGUCACUUCGAGAUCUCAGGUUGUGACCCCCGCUAUAUAUACCAACCCCCUCCUCCACCAUAACUUUGUUGGUUGAUCUGUGAUAAUUUGCCGCAAGUGUCAUUUGAGCUACCCAUCCUUCUGAAGCAUUUGAGAGAAUCCUAGUGCGGAAAACCCCUAGUACCCAAAAGCCAAAGUGAUUGAGCAUUGAAGAAUCUGUUCUAAGUGAAUCAAAGACUUGUUACUCUUGAAGACUGUGAUCUUCCGGAUGGUUGGGCGUCUGUUCAGAGCUUCUAAGAGUCGUUGUUAAUUGCAGAGGAACAAGUAUGUGAAGGUUUGGAGAUCUACCACGAGUGAUUGGGGCGAGGUGAAAGUGAUCUUAGCUCAAGGAUAAUAGUGUGAAGACUUAGUAUUUUAAGAUAAAUCUCACCCUCUCGAAAACUAGAUGUAGAGUUGUCACAACAACUUGAUCUGGUCCAAUAAAUCGAUUUUCUUCACCGAGCUAUUGGUUCCACAUUCUUCACUCCUUUACAUUACGCACUAGCAUGUUGUGAAGAAUUCACUUCCUCCCUCUCUGAAUACUUUCUCUGGAGACUUUGCUAUUUCAGUGUUCUUUGGUAUGUUAAUUUUUGUCUUCAAUCUCGAUAUUUUGAAGUGUGUAUGUUUUUUGUUCAUCUAGUUGAUCUACUAUUACUUAGUAUGCAUGAUAUCUUUUGUUCUGAUGACUUUGCCUCAGUACUGAUUGCAUGCUAGUAGUAAUUUUUCUUCAACAAGUAAUUUCUUUUGUUCUGUUUAGCUCGUCGAUUCUUCAAGGAAAUAGUUUUUUUCCCAACGAUUUGAUAAAAAAAAUCUCCCAUUCACCUCUCUCUAGUCGAUUAAUUGCUCUUUCACCAACACAUGGUAAAAUCACCAAAAAAUCAUUAAAAAUGUGCUUGUGUGUGUGUGUGUGUGCGCACGCGCAUGCAUAGGCUUUCAUGAAUCACACUACAAAAUUCAAAUGAAAACACAAUAUAGAUCAAAAGAAAGGAAAAAAGACAUUUUUUGUGGACGGUAGUUUCACCUUUCCCUCUUUAAGGCUACUUUUUAGCGAACAUAUUGUUGGAAAUAUGCCCUAGAGGCAAUAAUAAAUAGGUUAUUAUUAUAUUUCCUUGUUCAUGAUAAUCAUUUAUUAUCCAUGCUAGAAUUGUAUUGAUAGGAAACUCAGAUACAUGUGUGGAUACAUAGACAACACCAUGUCCCUAGUAAGCCUCUAGUUGACUAGCUCGUUGAUCAAUAGAUGGUUACGGUUUCCUGACCAUGGACAUUGGAUGUCGUUGAUAACGGGAUCACAUCAUUAGGAGAAUGAUGUGAUGGACAAGACCCAAUCCUAAAGCCUAGCACAAGAUCGUGUAGUUCGUUUGCUCAGAGCUUUUCUAAUGUCAAGUAUCAUUUCCUUAGACCAUGAGAUUGUGCAACUCCCGGAUACCAUAGGAAUGCUUUGGGUGUACCAAAUGUCACAACGUAACUGGGUGGCUAUAAAGGUGCACUACAGGUAUCUCCGAAAGUGUCUGUUGGGUUGGCACGAAUCGAGACUGAGAUUUGUCACUCCGUAUAAACGGAGAGGUAUCUCUGGGCCCACUCGGUAGGACAUCAUCAUAAUGUGCACAGUGUGACCAAGGAGUUGAUCACGGGAUGAUGUGAGUUACGAAACGAGUAAAGAGACUUGCCGGUAACGAGAUUGAACAAGGUAUCGGGAUACCGACGAUCGAAUCUCGGGCAAGUAGCAUACCGAUAGACAAAGGGAAUUGUAUACGGGAUUAAUUGAAUCCCCGACAUCGUGGUUCAUCCGAUGAGAUCAUCGUGGAACAUGUGGGAGCCAACAUGGGUAUCCAGAUCCCGCUGUUGGUUAUUGACCGGAGAACGUCUCGGUCAUGUCUGCAUGGUUCCCGAACCCGUAGGGUCUACACACUUAAGUUUCGAUGACGCUAGGGUUAUAAAGGAAGUUUGUAUGUGGUUACCGAAUGUUGUUCGGAGUCCCGGAUGAGAUCCCGGACGUCACGAGGAGUUUCGGAGGUAAAGAUUUAUAUAUGGGAAGUCCUGUUUUGGUCACCGGAAAAGUUUUGGGUGAUAUCGGUAAUGUACCGGGACCACCGGGAGGGUCCCGGGGGUCCACCAAGUGGGGCCACCAGCCCCAGUAGGCUGCGUGGGCCAAGUGUGGGAGGGGACCAGCCCCAGGUGGGCUGGUGCGCCCCCCCACCAAGGCCCAAGGCGCAUGGGAGAGUGGGAGGGGGCAAACCCUAGGUCCAGAUGGGCCUUAAGGCCCACCCUAGUGGCGCCCCCCCUCUCCUCCCCUUGGCCGCCCCCCUAGAUGGGAUCUAGGGCUGGCCGCCACCCCUUGGGGUGGGAACCCUAGAGGGGGCGCAGCCCCCUCCCCCCCUUAUAUAUAGUUGAGGUUUGGGGCUGCCCAAGAUACGAGAACGUCUCUCUUUCGGCGCAGUCCUACCCCUCUCCCUCCUCCUCCUCUCCCGCAGUGCUUGGCGAAGCCCUGCGGGAUUGCCACGCUCCUCCAUCACCACCAUGCCGUCGUGUUGCUGCUGGAUGGAGUCUUCCCCAACCUCUCCCUCUCUCCUUGCUGGAUCAAGGCGUGGGAGACGUCACCGGGCUGCACGUGUGUUGAACGCGGAGACACCGUUCUUCGGUGCUUAGAUCGGAAUCAACCGCGAUCUGAAUCGCUACGAGUACGACUCCUUCAUCCGCGUUCUUGCAACGCUUCCGCAUCGCGAUCUACAAUGGUAUGUAGAUGCACUCCCCUUCCCCUCGUUGCUAGAUUACUCCAUAGAUUGAUCUUGGUGAUGCGUAGAAAAUUUUGAAUUUCUGCUACGUUCCCCAACAGUGGCAUCAUGAGCUAGGUUUAUGCGUAGUUUCUAUGCACGAGUAGAACACAAAGCAGUUGUGGGCAUAGAUGUUGCCAAUUCUUCUUGCCGCUACUAGUCUUAUCUUGUUUCGGCGGCAUUGUGGGAUGAAGCGGCCCGGACCGACCUUACACGUACGCUUACGUGAGACAGGUUCCACCGACUGACAUGCACUAGUUGCAUAAGGUGGCUAGCGGGUGUCUGUCUCUCCCACUUUAGUCGGAACGGAUUCGAUGAAAAGGGUCCUUAUGAAGGGUAAAUAGAAAUUGGCAUAUCACGUUGUGGUUUUACGUAGGUAAGAAACGUUCUUGCUAGAAACCUAUACAAGCCACGUAAAAACUUGCAACAACAAUUAGAGGACGUCUAACUUGUUUUUGCAGCAUGUGCUAUGUGAUGUGAUAUGGCCAGAAGAUGUGAUGAAUGAUAUAUGUGAUGUAUGAGAUUGAUCAUAUUCUUGUAAUAGGAAUCACGACUUGCAUGUCGAUGAGUAUGACAACUGGCAGGAGCCAUAGGAGUUGUCUUUAUUUUUUGUAUGACCUGCGUGUCAUUGAAUAACGCCAUGUAAAUUACUUUACUUUAUUGCUAAGCGCGUUAGCCAUAGAAGUAGAAGUAAUCGUUGGCGUGACAACUUCAUGAAGACACAAUGAUGGAGAUCAUGAUGAUGGAGAUCAUGGUGUCAUGCCGGUGACAAAGAUGAUCAUGGUGCCCCGAAGAUGGAGAUCAAAGGAGCAAAAUGAUAUUGGCCAUAUCAUGUCACUAUUUGAUUGCAUGUGAUGUUUAUCAUGUUAUGCAUCUUAUUUGCUUAGAACGACGGUAGUAAGUAAGAUGAUCCCUUAUAAUAAUUUCAAGAAAGUGUUCCCCUUAACUGUGCACCGUUGCGAAGGUUCAUUGUUUCGAAGCACCACGUGAUGAUCGGGUGUGAUAGAUUCUAACGUUUGAAUACAACGGGUGUUGACGAGCCUAGCAUGUACCGACAUGGCCUCGGAACACAUGCGAAACACUUAGGUUGACUUGACGAGCCUAGCAUGUACAGACAUGGCCUCGGAACACAAGAGACCAAAAGGUCGAACAUGAGUCGUAUAGCAGAUACGAUCAACAUGGAGAUGCUCACCGAUGAUGACUAGUCCGUCUCACGUGAUGAUCGGACACGGCCUAGUUUGACUCGGAUCAUGUAUCACUUAGAUGACUAGAGGGAUGUCUAUCUGAGUGGGAGUUCAUUAAUCAGAUGAACUUAAUUAUCAUGAACAUAGUCAAAAAGUCUUUGCAAGUUAUGUCAUAGCUUGCGCUUUAAUUCUACUAUUUUAAGAUAUGUUCCUAGAGAAAAUUUAGUUGAAAGUUGGUAGUAGCAAUUAUGCGGACUGGGUCCGUAAACUGAGGAUUGUCCUCAUUGCUGCACAGAAGGCUUAUGUCCUUAAUGCACCGCUCGGUGUGCUGAACCUCAACGUCGUCUGUAGAUGUUGCGAAACAUCUGACAUACACGUUUUGAUGACUACGUGAUAGUUCAGUGCGUAAUGGUAACGGUUUAGAAUUGUGGCACCAAAGACGGUUUUUGAAACGUCGCAGAACAUAUGAGAUGUUCCGAAGACUGAAAUUGGGAUUUCGGACUAGUGCCCACGUCAAGAGGUAUGAGACCUCUGACAAGUUUCUUAAGCCUGCAAACUAAGGGAGAAAAGCUCAAUCGUUGAGCAUGUGCUUAGAUUGUCUGAGUACUACAAUCACUUGAAUCGAGUGGGAGUUAAUCUUCCAGAUGAGAUAGUGAUGGUUCUCCAUAAUCACUGCCACCAAGCUAUUAGAGCUUCGUGAUGAACUAUAAAUAUCAAGGAUAGAUGAUGAUCCUUGAGCAACUCGCGAUGUUUGACACCGCGAAAGUAGAAAUCAAGAAGGAGCAUCAAUUGUUGAUGGUUAGUAAAACCACUAGUUUCUAGAAGGGCAAGGGCAAAAGGGAUACUUCAUGAAACAGCAAAUCAUUUGCUGCUCUAGUAAAGAAUCCCAAGGUUGAACCCAAACCCGAGACUAAGUGCUUCUGUAAUGAGGGGAACGGUCACUGAAGUGGAACUACCCUAGAUACUUGGUAGAUGAGAAGGCAGGCAAGGUCGACAGAAGUAUAUUGGAUAUACAUUAUAUGAAUGUGUACUUUACUAGUACUCCUAGCAGCACCAGGGUAUUAGAUACUGGUUCGGUUGCUAAGUGUUAGUAACUCGAAAUAAAAGCUGUGGAAUAAAUGGAGACUGGAUAAAGGUGAGAUGACGAUGUGUGUUGGAAGUGUUUCCAAGGUUGAUGUGAUCAAGCAUCGCAUGCUCCCUCUACCAUCGAGAUUGGUGUUAAACCUAAAUAAUUGUUAUUUGGUGUUUGCGUUGAGCAUAAACAUGAUUGGAUUAUGUUUAUCGCAAUACAGUUAUUCAUUUAAGGAGAAUAAUGGUUACUCUGUUUAUUUGAAUAAUACCUUCAAUGGUCUUGCACCUAAAAUGAAUCUCGAUCGUAGUGAUACACAUAUUCAUGCCAAAAGAUAUAAGAUAGUAAUGAUAGUACCACAUACUUGUGGCACUGCCACUUGAGUCAUAUUGGUAUAAAACGCAUGAAGAAGCUCCAUGUAGAUGGAUCUUUGGACUCACUCAUUUUUGAAAAGAUUGAGACAUGCGAACCAUGUCUAUUGGUAUAUAUGCAUGAAGAAACUCCAUGCAGAUGGAUCAUUUGGACUCACUUGAUUUUGAAUCACUUGAGACAUGCAAAUCAUACCACAUGGGCAAGAUGACUGAAAGGCCUCAUUUUCAGUAAGAUGGAACAAGAGAGCAACUUGUUGGAUGUAAUACAUUUUGAUGUGUGCAGUCCAAUGAGUGCUGAGGCAUGCAGUGGAUAUCGUUAUGUUCUUACUUCACAGAUGAUUUGAGUAGAUGCUGAGUGUAUUUACUUGAUGAAACACAAGUCUGAAUUAUUGAAAGGUUCAAGUAAUUUAAGAGUGAAGUUGAAGAUCGUCGUGACAAGAGGAUAAAAUGUCUGUGAUAUGAUCAUAGAGAUGAGUAUCUGAGUUACGAGUUUGGCACACAAUUAAGACAUUGUGGAAAGUGUUUCACAAUUAAUACCGCCUGGAACACCAUAGUGUGAUGGUGUGUCCGAACAUCAUAACUGCACCCUAUUGGAUAUGGUGCAUACCAUGAUGUCUCUUAUCGAAUUACCACUAUCGUUUAUGGGUUAGGCAUUAGAGAUAACCGCAUUCACUUUAAAAGGGGCACCAUGCAAUUCCGUUGAGACGACACCGUUUAGAGAAACCUAAGUUGUCGUUUCUUAAAAGUUUGGGGCUGCGAUGCUUAUGUGAAAAAGUUUCAGGCUGAUAAGCUCGAACCCAAAGCGGAUAAAUGCAUCUUCAUAGAAUACCCAAAACAGUUGGGUAUACCUCCUAUUUCAGAUCUGGAAGCAAAAGUAAUUGCUUCUAGAAACAAGUCCUUUCUCGAGGAAAAGUUUCUCUCGAAAGAAUUGAGUGGGAGGAUGGUGGAGACUUGAUAAGGUUAUUGAACCGUCACUUCAACUAGUGUGUAGCAGGGCACAAGAAGUUGUUCCUGUGGCACCUACACCAAUUGAAGUGGAAGCUUAUGAUAGUGAUCAUGAAACUUCGGAUCAAGUCACUACCAAACCUCGUAGGACGACGAGGAUGCGUGCUACUUCAGAGUGGUACGUGAUCCUGUCUGAGAUAUCAUGUUGUUGGACAAUACUGAACCUACGAGCUAUGGAGAAGCGAUGGUGGGCCCAUAUUCCGACAAAUGGUUAGAAGCCAUGAAAUCCGAGAUAAAUGGAUCUUUAAGAAGAGGACGGACGUGGACGGUAAUGUUACCGUCUAUGAAGCUCGACUUGUGGCAAAGAGAAUUUUCACAAGUUCAAGGAGUUGACUACGAUGAGAUUUUCUCAUCCGUAACGAUGCUUAAGUCCGUCGGAAUCAUGUUAGCAUUAGCUGCAUUUAUGAAAUCUGGCAGAUGGAUGUCAAAACAAGUUUCCUUACUAGUUUUCGUAAGGAAAGGUUGUAUGUGAUACAAUCAGAAAGGUUUUGUCGAUCCUAAGGAUGCUAAAAGGUAUGCUAGCUCCAGCGAUCCUUCCAUGGACUAGAGCAAGCAUCUCGGAGUCAGAAUAUACGCUUUGAUGGAGUGAUCAAAGUUUUUGGGUUUAUACAAAGUUUGUUAGAAACUUGCAUUUACAAUAAAGUGAGUGGGAGCGCUACAACAUUUCUGAUAAGUAUAUGUGAAUGACAUACUGUUGAUCCGAAAUGAUGUAAAAUUUCUGGAAAGCAUAAAGGGUUGUUUGAAAGGAGUUUUUCAAAGGAAGACCUGGAUAAAGCUGCUUACAUAUAGGGCAUCAAGAUCUAUAGAGAUAGAUCAAGACGCCCGAUGAUACUUUCAAAGAACGCACACCUUGACAUGAUUUUGAAAGAGUUCAAAAUAGAUCAGCAAAGAAGGAGUUCUUGGCUGUGUUACAAGGUGUGAGUAUUGAGUAAGACUCAAGACCUGACCACAGCAGAAGAGAGAGAAAGGACGAAGGUCGUCCCCUAUGCUUCAGACGUAGGCUCUACAGUAUGCUAUGCUGCGUACCGCACAUGUAGUGUGCCUUGCCAUGAGUUGGUCAAGAGGGUACAAUAGUGAUCCGGGAAUGGAUCACAUGACAGCAGUCGAACUUAUCCUUAGUAUCUAGUGGACUAAGGAAUUUUCUCGAUUAUGGAGGUGAAAAGGGGUUCGUCGUAAAGGGUUACGUCGAUGCGAACUUUGACACUAAUCCGGAUGACUCUGAGUAGUAAACCAGAUUCGUAUAGUAGAGCAAUUAUUUGAAAUGGCUCCAUGUAGCGCGUGGUAGCAUCCACAAGAUGACAUAGAUAUUCGUAAAGCACACACGGAUCUGAAGGGUUCAGACCCGUUGACUAAUAACCUCUCUCACAAGCAUAACAUGAUCAAACCAGAACUCAUUGAGUGUUAAUCACAUAGUGAUGUGAACUAGAUUGUUGACUCUAGUAAACUCUUUGGAUGUUGGUCACAUGGUGAUGUGACCUAUGAGUGUUAAUCACAUGGUGAUGUGAACUAGAUUAUUGACUCUAGUGCAAGUGGGAGACUGUUGGAAAUAUGCCCUAGAGGCAAUAAUAAAUAGGUUAUUAUUAUAUUUCCUUGUUCAUGAUAAUCGUUUAUUAUCCAUGCUAGAAUUGUAUUGAUAGGAAACUCAGAUACAUGUGUGGAUACAUAGACAACACCAUGUCCCUAGUAAGCCUCUAGUUGACUAGCUCGUUGAUCAAUAGAUGGUUACGGUUUCCUGACCAUGGACAUUGGAUGCCGUUGAUAACGGGAUCACAUCAUUAGGAGAAUGAUGUGAUGGACAAGACCCAAUCCUAAAGCCUAGCACAAGAUCGUGUAGUUCGUUUGCUCAGAGCUUUUCUAAUGUCAAGUAUCAUUUCCUUAGACCAUGAGAUUGUGCAACUCCCGGAUACCGUAGGAAUGCUUUGGGUGUACCAAACGUCACAACGUAACUGGGUGGCUAUAAAGGUGCACUACAGGUAUCUCCGAAAGUGUUUAUUGGGUUGGCAGGAAUCGAGACUGGGAUUUGUCACUCCGUGUAAACGGAGAGGUAUCUCUGGGCCCACUCGGUAGGACAUCAUCAUAAUGUGCACAGUGUGACCAAGGAGUUGAUCACGGGAUGAUGUGAGUUACGGAACGAGUAAAGAGACUUGCCGGUAACGAGAUUGAACAAGGUAUCGGGAUACCGACGAUCGAAUCUCGGGCAAGUAGCAUACCGAUAGACAAAGGGAAUUGUAUACGGGAUUGAUUGAAUCCCCGACAUCGUGGUUCAUCCGAUGAGAUCAUCGUGGAACAUGUGGGAGCCAACAUGGGUAUCCAGAUCCCGCUGUUGGUUAUUGACCGGAGAACGUCUCGGUCAUGUCUGCAUGGUUCCCGAACCCGUAGGGUCUACACACUUAAGGUUCGAUGACGCUAGGGUUAUAAAGGAAGUUUGUAUGUGGUUACCGAAUGUUGUUCGGAGUCCCGGAUGAGAUCCCGGACGUCACGAGGAGUUCCGGAGGUAAAGAUUUAUAUAUGGGAAGUCCUGUUUUGGUCACCGGAAAAGUUUCGGGUGAUAUCGGUAAUGUACCGGGACCACCGGGAGGGUCCCGGGGGUCCACCAAGUGGGGCCACCAGCCCCAGUAGGCUGCAUGGGCCAAGUGUGGGAGGGGACCAGCCCCAGGUGGGCUGGUGCGCCCCCCCACCAAGGCCCAAGGCGCAUGGGAGAGUGGGAGGGGGCAAACCCUAGGUCCAGAUGGGCCUUAAGGCCCACCCUAGUGGCGCCCCCCCUCUCCUCCCCUUGGCCGCCCCCCUAGAUGGGAUCUAGGGCUGGCCGCCACCCCUUGGGGUGGGAACCCUAGAGGCGGCGCAGCCCCCUCCCCCCCUUAUAUAUAGUUGAGGUUUGGGGCUGCCCAAGAUACGAGAACGUCUCUCUUUCGGCGCAGUCCUACCCCUCUCCCUCCUCCUCCUCCUCUCCCGCAGUGCUUGGCGAAGCCCUGCGGGAUUGCCACGCUCCUCCAUCACCACCAUGCCGUCGUGCUGCUGCUAGAUGGAGUCUUCCCCAACCUCUUCCUCUCUCCUUGCUGGCUCAAGGCGUGGGAGACGUCACCGGGCUGCACGUGUGUUGAACGCAGAGACACCGUUCUUCGGUGCUUAGAUCGGAAUCAACCGCGAUCUGAAUCGCUACGAGUACGACUCCUUCAUCCGCGUUCUUGCAACGCUUCCGCAUCACGAUCUACAAUGGUAUGUAGAUGCACUCCCCUUCCCCUCGUUGCUAGAUUACUCCAUAGAUUGAUCUUGGUGAUGCGUAGAAAAUUUUGAAUUUCUGCUACGUUCCCCAACACAUAUGGUAUGCAAUAGCAUCUUUAGGCGCACUAGUGCAUUAAGCCUCUAAUUGAUUAUUAGAAAAUUCUUUAUUUUUUGGCAACGUGCAAUAUUAUGCACGAAUUUCCAGAUUCAAUAUGGCAAACAACCCAAAAAUAAAAACAAAUUUGACUAUUAAUGGUAUCACACCAGAUUUGAGUUUGGUACUAUUCAUAAUCUAAUUCGUAGUUAUGGAUCAGAUUUGGAGUUGAGAUCUUAUCGCAUGCUAGCUGUGUAUUAUAAUUAUGUCAUUUUUCUUUUUAGGAUUAUCUAUAUGAAUUUAUAUCAUAAUAUAGAGACCCUACCCCUACUAUUCAUAGGAAAAAUUAUCCUUUUGUACUUGGAUGUGCAAAACAAAUCUGGUUCUAAAUUUUCUAGACAUGAUAGAUACGUCUGACGCCUAUGUUAUAGAAUUUUUUGAUGUUUUACAUAAACACUUUGUCACUUCUAUUAUACGUCAAUAGAACAAUAGCACCAACAAGCUUUAUUUGUAGCACUGGAAAUUCUAUCAAUAUAUGUGCCAAGGAUUGCAUAAGAGAGGAAGCCAUUUUGGUUUUCAUAUCACAGCCAACAUUUUAAUCUUAACCUUGGCUUGACUGCCACCUAAGAGCAACUAAUUCAGUGUAGGCUAUACUUUGUUGUAACAGUUAUAACUAGUUGAACGAAUUUUUUUCAUUACAAAUAUACUAGAUAUCAGUUUUGUGGUGGCCAUCUGAAUACAACCAUAGGAUAUGCUCUCCCAACUCCCUCGCGAGAAUGAGUUCAUUUCAUGGUUAGAGUCUAGUUGCAAAAAAUGCUACUAUGGCAAGGGUGUCAACCCUUACCGUGGGAGGACGAUAUGCUUUUCCAGUGCACUCUUCUUUGUUGUAUCAGUUCAUGUGGAUUGUGUGUGUGUGUGUGUGUGUGUUCGUCUUGUCAAUGUAUUUCUUUGCCCCUCCCUGAUAACUUGAAGCUCUAUUUGCGUAAUGAGGACAUUCCUACUAUAGCUCCACCCACACCCCCAUAGUAACAGAGAAACAAGGAUGAAUCGCUAAAGCUCGCAUGCAUCAACAUAACUAUCACGUACUUUUGAUUCUAUGAACUUCCAAUAGUGCUCAUGAGAACAUGAUACUCCCUAAAUCAAAUAUAUUUGUAUUAUUAAGGAAUGAAGGAACCAACAUUGAUGAGAGGGACAAGUAUUGGAGCAUGAGCAAGCUUGGAGACUGUUGCCAAAAUACAAGGAAUGAAGAUGGCAUUUUCAUUGGAGACUUCAGGACUUUGAGGCUACCAUAAUCACAUAUGGAGACAUGGAUGAAAUAUGCAAGUUGAAACUUCAUAAUUUUGUCAAAUAAUCAUCCAUAUGUGCUACCCCAUCUUAAUUUUGGUCCAGACCCAUGUACUUUUAGAGUAAAAAAACUAUGUCCAGUUUUUAGACUGUAUUUUGGGACGAGACUAACUUAAGGUUAGAUUCGAGACCCCGCCCCCUGAGUUGGCCAAAUCCCCCUCCGUCCCUCCUCAACUACGCCCCUUAGGGUAUCAAACUGGGGUUUGUGUUUUAUGUGAUUGAGUUUUAGCUGUUGCUACUCUUUCCAUAGAAAUGGGAGUCGCCAAGACCUCAUGUACUACACGUCAUUGGAACCCCACUGUGUUAAGUAAGUUCUUCAUCCUAUAUCCACAAUGUAGAUGGCAUAUCUCAAAUUCUUACUUGUUCUUUGGUUGCAUGCAGGAUUGAUCUUCGGGAUCAUGUUUUGUUGGCCACGUGUGCACUACAAGUAGGACCCACUUGUUAAGAAUCAUGUCAACAAAAUCAAUGAUGGAUUAGAGUUAUCUAUAAUGGAUUACACCAACAUGUGGUAUUUUGUGCAACUGCAACAAAAUCUAAGAGUAGGUGUUCUGUGCAAAUUCAACCCCAAUAGUUGGUAGUUUCUGCAAUCUCAUCGGUUUAGCGAUUACUAAGGCGCACCAUCGAGUUUUUGGUGUAGCGAGGUCUUAAAAAGUGUCCUCCAACAAAACCGAUAAUAUCACAUCGAAAGAUUGGGCCACCAUGUACUAUCAGUACGCCACCUUCCUUUUGUUAUGUUAAGUGCAUGAUGCCACCUCAUCUUGUCGAAAGUGACGUCAUGAAUAGGAAUAGUUUUUUCAGAGACGGUGAAGAGUCGUAUCGACAGUUGGUUCUAUGAUGGAAUGUUCUUCCUCGGACCUCAACAAUAAACACAAGAGAAUAUUUCAACUUGAACAAGAUGAGGGGACUAUUGUCGGUUAGGACCAUCUGAAAGCUUAUAUAACUAACCUUGAUAAGCGUCUUUUUGGCUCUCCAUAAUCCAAUUUUUCUUCCAUGGUGCAAGAUGCCAUUGUAGAUAUACCUCAACUCUCUACCUAGGAAAAUGUUUUGUUGACAACACCUUUCCUAGAAAAGGAGGUGUUUGAGGCCAUACCUCACAUGGAGUGUAAUAAAGUACCGGGACCAGAUGGCUUCCCCACUGAGUUCUACCAGAAAAUGUUGGGGGAUCAUUAAGGGUGAUCUUCUUCCAAUGCUCGAGGACUUAUACAAUGACGAUCUUUCGUCAUUUUGUUUCAACUUUGGAAGUAUCACGCUUUUACCCAAGAUUGUGAAUGAUGUUUGGAUUGGGCAAUUUAAACCCAUUUACCUGUUGAAUGCCAAUUUUAAAAUCUUCACAAUUGUGGGCACUAAUAGAUAAUUUGUUAUUCCUCAUACGGUCGUGCGCCCAAUGCAGACUGCCUUUAUGCCUGGUGAAAGUGCGUUAUAUCGACUAGAGGGGGGGGGGGUGAAUAGGCGAUUUUUAUGAAUUCUUCACUGAGGAAUUUUCUAGUGAGGAAAUUCCUUAGCGAAGAACUACUUGCAGCGGAAUAAGUACUCAAAAGUAUGCACAACAGAACACAAGCAUGGUCAUCAUGAUGAAAUGAAGACAAGCACAGAGUACAGAAAGCGUAAACACAGGAUAACACAGGAUGAAGACAAACAGACUGAAGAAAUUGAACUGAGGAAAUUGAUAAAGUCUUCAGUCAAAGUCUUCAAACACAGAAAUGAACAAGCAUACAACACAGUAAUGAGGAAAUGAAAGAGUUGAGGAAAUAGAACCAGUAAGCUUGGUGAAGACAAUGAUUUGGUAGACCAGUUCCAACUGCUGUCUCAGUUGUAUGUCUGGUUGGAGCGGCUAGGUAUUUAAACCUGAGGACACACAGUCCCGGACACACAGUCCCGGACACACAGUCCUCACCGUAUUCUCCUUGAGCUAAGGUCACACAGACCUUGCCCAAUCACUCGUGGUAAGUCUUCAGGUGACUUCCGAACCUUCACAAACUCGGUCACUCGGUGAUCCACAAUUCCUCUUGGAUGCUCUAGACCAUGAUGCCUAACCGUCUGGAAGAAGCACAAUCUUCAAAGGUAACAAGCGUCGGAUCCACGCAGGAUCAAUCUCUUCAGUGAUGCUCAAUCACUUAGGAUUUGUAGGUGUUUGGGUUUGGGUUUUCCUCACUUGAUGAUUUUCGCUCAAAGUCCUCGGAGGAUGGGAUGCUCUCAAAUGACAAGUGUCCGUUUCUCUCGAAGCAGCCAGCCAGCUAGUGGUUGUAGGGGGCCGCUAUUUAUAGCCUAGGGAGCAGCCCGUCAUGAUAAGACAUAAAUGCCCUUCAAUGAUAUGACCGUUAGGUGGGUAGAUAUUUUGGGACAGCUGGCGCAUAGCACAGCAACGGUCGGAAAUUUGAGUAUCAAAUUCCUCAGGGCUAUCAUGUUCCUCACUAUGUAGGCAAUCCGCACUGGUGAAUUCCUAACUCCUCAGUCAGAACAAAUUUCUCAGAGACCAGAAGAACUUCGUCUCUGUCACUGAAGAAUAUGACUAAACUGUAUGAGAUUUCCAAUGGCUUCACUCGAAGGGAUUGGUAGGUGUAGGAUUUUGAGUUGAGCAUCACAUGGAAAUUUUUCCUUAGUAUUUCCUUGACCCCCUUUAACAGUACGGUGUUUCCUAUGACUCAAGAAAGAGAAAAUGAAACUACGAAAACAAAAGUCUUCAUGCUUCAUGUUCCUCAAAUGAAUACCAAGUCUUCAAGGUCACACCAAUUUCUUCACUUUCAAAGUCUUCAGAAAUCCAAAGUCUUCAGUCGAAGAACUUCAUUUUUAGGGGUCGACUUUCUCUGUAAAUAUCAAACUCCUCAUAGACUUAUAGACCUGUGUACACUCAUAAACACAUUAGUCCCUUAACCUAUAAGUCUUCAAUACACCAAAAUCACUAAGGGGCACUAGAUGCACUUACAAUCUCCCCCUUUUUGGUGAUUGAUGACAAUAUAGGUUAAGUUUUCAACGGGGAUAAACAUAUGAAGUGUAAAUACUGAUAUUGAGGAAUUUGAUUGCAAGAUAUAGAAGAACUCCCCCUGAAGAUGUGCAUAGUGAGGAAUUUGCUUUUGAAGCAAUGAACACUUGAAGAGUUGAAUCAUGGAGAUCUCCCCCUAUAUCUUGUAAUUCAUACACGCAUUUGACAUAAUAUAUGAAGAAUUUGAAAUGCAUGAUGAAAUAUGGUGACUGAUGUAAUUCAGCAUGCGUGCAAUAACACUAACGAGUAAUAAGCAUGCAGAAGAAACAGCAAAAGUAUCAGGCCACCAUAGAGUUUAAGUUUGCAACUCGAUCCAACAAAGUCAUCAGAAGAACGAGAGUUGUAACUUCAGGAAAAAAACGCCCGUAUAAGAUAGACCCGCUUGAAGACUAACUCAAAUUUCUCCCCCUUUGUCAUCAAAUGACCAAAAUGUUCGAAGAUGAGGACUAACGCCCCUGAAGAAUAUCAAGGUGAUGAAGGAGCGUCAGCAUUGUUGGGGUCGUUUGUUGUAGUAGGGCCUGCCGCAGUGUCGUCCAAGUCUUCAUGUUCAUCAGUGUCACGUGUUGAAGAAUAGGAGCUGGCCACCAAGGAAGGAACCUUGACCUUCUUGUACUUCUUUGGAGGAGGUGCAGCCCAGUCAAAAUCUUCCUUGAGACCCAUUUUCUUCAGAUCUUCUUCACCAUAUAUGUGCGACAGAACAGCCCAGGUGCGGUUGAGGGUUUCAUGAAGGUAGUAAUGGUUUUUCUUCACUGCAUUGUGGGUAGCAGUCAUGUUGUGAAGAAUUGAACCAAACUGACGCUUGACCCAUUUGUGAUUGCGAUCAACCUUCUGGUGAAGACUGAGGAGAAGCUCACGGUCAGUCAUCACCCUGGGACCUGUGCGUUGAGGAUUUUGCUUGGGUGCGUUGGCGGCAGAUUCAUGGGUGGCAGAGUCAUCAUUGGUGGAGUAGGAUGCAGCCUUGUGAAAUUGACCAUCCAAUGGACGAAUGCCUUCAUCAAUUACAGCAGUAGCCUUGCCCUUUUCAUCAGCUGAGGAAAAUGUCCGUUUGAGGACUUCAAUCGGGGGCAAGUAGCUGCAAUGAUUCAGUGUAUCAGCUUUGUAGUUGAGUGAAGACCUUGUUCUGAUGAAUCUCAUAAUCCACGGAGCAUAAGGCUUCAACUCAAACGGUGACAUUGCGACAUUGGCCAGAGUCCUCAUGAAGAAAUCAUGGAAGUUGACGGGAACGCCAUGAAUGAUAUUGAAAAGCAGAUUCUUCAUGAUGCCAACGACUUCUUCUUCAUUCGAGUUGUGGCCCUUGAUAGGACUCAAUGUCUUCGUCAGAAUGCGAUAGACAGUCCGAGGCACAUACAACAAUUCCUUCACAAGGAAUUUUGUUCUUGGGGCCUGACCUGGCUUCAAUGGCUUCAUCAGCACUUGCAUAUAGUGAUCUGUAAGCUCAGGUUCAUUGUAGACACAACAAGCACCUUCAAGGGGAGGACUGAGAGGCAAAGCACGAAGCAAUUCAGUAGCUGGUGCCUUGUAGUGAGUGUUUUCAGACAUCCAGUCCAGCACCCAUGAAUUCACAUCUUCAGAGUCUCCGGUGAUGUGCAGAGUUGCAUAAAAUUGAAGAAUGAGCUCUUCAUUCCAAUCACAUAUAUCAGUGCAGAAAUUUAACAGUCCAGCGUCGUAAAGAACACUGAGGACUGGCCCGAAGCACGGCAGAGAUUCCAUAUCCACGUGAGGAACGUGCUCAUGAUCGAAGACUUUGUCUUUGUUGAACAGCACUGAGGAAUAAAAAUUUGCCUGGCCGGCAUUCCAGAAAUGCCUCUUCCUAAUGCGAGCAGAGUCAUACGGGUUGCAAUCAGUGAAGAAUAUGUGCUCGCCGAAGAAAUCAUUAGCCUUGAAUUUUUGCUUCCUUGAGAAUGGAUCCUUUGGCUUGGGCAGAGGAGUGUUAGUGAGUUGCAUCACAACCUCAGGAAUCGCAAUCUCAGGUUCUUCAGGCUGAGGAAUUUCUGGUUCCUCUUCAGUGGCAGCCUGGUUCUUCAAUUUUUCAUUUUCAUUUUCUUCAGCACUAGCAGCUGGAAUGUCUUCAUGAGCUUCAUCAGAUCCCAUUUGAACUGUAGUUGCUGGGGACUAAGGAAUUUGUUGCAAUGGAGUGAAGAGUGGAGAGUUGGGGUGCUGACUUUCCCAAAAGUCAUCAUUCAUCACUGGUGUGGUAUAGCCAAUGUCCACAUCUUCAUCUUCCAUUUCUUCAACGCCAGCCUCUUCAGCAGUAAACUGAGGCAUAGGUGAGGAAACUGUGGGGGUUGAAAGGAUUUUAUCCACUUCAAUUUCUUCAUCCAUCUGCUCUGACGAAGCAGCAGAAGGAUUUUCUUCAUCAGAUCUGCUAGGGAUCACAUAUUCUUCAUCGAAAGGGAUGAUUUCCUUUGAUGGCAUGGAGGAAACAGGAACAACAUCAAUUGGAUUAGCAAAUGAGCUUGUCAAUUUCUUCAUCUUCUUCGGUACUGAAGAAUCUGAAGGAGCCGAUGCUUUCCUUUUCUUCACUGCUGCACGCUCUGCAGCCUUGGUCUUCUUCACAUCUGAUGCAGAUAGAAGGAUUGGAGUUGGGGUAGGCGCAGGAGGAGCAGAGGAAAGUGGUUGAUUUUCUUCAGACACAACUGAUGCAGUUGCCCUGACCUCUUCAUUUUCUUCAGGCGCACCACUAGUGGAUGCCCUGGCAAUUUCAUCAGCGGCUGGAAUGCAGUCACCAGCCCUGGAACUCACAUUUUCUUCAGCAGCCUGAUUGUCAUCAACGGUGCUGGCAUGUUCUUCAGUUGGCUGAGCAGAUGCUUCAGCCUGAGGAAUUUCUUGUUGCGAUGGGGCUGCAACAUUUGAGGUGAACAUCUUAGUCAGUUUGACAAACCUGACCUUGGCUCCUUUCCAAUCAGCAUAGUAUGCAUUGAAAUCAUCACUGAGGACUUUGAUUUCAGACUGGAUCUUCACAAGUUCAUCAGUUGUCAUAGAGACAACGUUGUUCUUCAGGAAUUUUUCCUUCCUGUACUGCGCUUUCUUGAGCUGUCUGGCCUUCUCAAAUUUCCAUUUUUCUUCUUGGAUGAAGGCAGUCAGCAUAUGACUUUGACCAGGAGUCAGCUUGAAGUCAGGCAUAGGAGUGUUUGGGUCCUUGUGCCAGAGGUCAAUGUAGUCGAGGAUCAACUUUGGAUCCAAAAGCAGAGGCACAUUUGUGCCCUUGGCUCUAGCGGCCCCGACUUGCCUAUCUCUGAUGAUUUCAGCAAGUUCUUCAUCAUCAGCUUCGUCUUCUUCAGACGUCACUUGGAAGGCGACCUACUUCUUGUGAGGACUUGGGCGAGAGCCUCGUCCAGCAGUGGUCUUUGUCUUCAGCAGAGAGGGUCCUGUUGAAGAAUUUGGUGCAGCUGAGGAACUAGCUGAAGCUCCUGAGGCAAUAGAGAUGCCUGUAGUCCUUUGGCACGUGGCAAGAUGCACAGGUGCUGAGGAUUUGGUCGGAGCAGCUGAGGACUUUGGAGGAGCAGGAGCGGCGUGAGGAAUUGGCCGUGAGGGCUUAGCUGAGGAAAUUGGCCGUGAUGGCAUUGAAGAAGAAGCACUUGGCUUGUGCGCAGGCUUCUUUGCCAUGGAUUUCCUCGGCCUUACAGAGGCCUCAACAGCAGCAGCAGUAGAGUCUUUGUUGAAUUUCUUCACUGCAUCUUUUGCCUGUUUGGCCAGCUUGGCCUGGCGCUUGACCCAUUCUUUAGGAAAAUCCUCACCGCGCUUGAUGCUAGUGGGAUCUACUUCUUGGCCAGGUGCCAAUGGUGGUCUUGAGCAUGGAGGAGUAACAGUGAAUUUCUUCAUGUAUUUUGGAGUCACAUACCUGUACUCCCUCCACUUUUUUGCCCAUCUCCUCUCUAUCCUCUGAAUGCGCACCUUGCGCUGAUUUUUAUCUUCCUCAGGGGGUGUGCAGUACCCAACAUAGACGUCCUCAGGGGUUUCAGAGGCAGUAUUGAUUUCAGGCCUCUUUCCUACUUCUGUGGCUUCUUUCCAUCAGCCAUUUUCUUCAGUUGAGGAAUUUGAACAAUUGAACUCUCUGAAGAAGUAUGCAACUUUUCUUCGAGGAACGCUGCAAAUGAGUUAAGUUGAUGAGAACCUAGUGAUUCAGCAGCGGACAUGAGUACCUGUGAACAGAGUAUAGUUGCGAGGAAUUUGGAGAGGUCAUAUGCAUUCUCAGAAGGUUUUCCAAAAAGCACAAGUUUGAGGAAUUUGACCAGAUGAGUCUUGAAGAAUUUCACUAAGCGUUCUUUGUCUUAGGUUCCAGAGUUGUAUAGAUCGAAGAUCCACACAAUUGAGGAAUCUUGAAGAAAAAUGAUGCUUAGAGAAACGAAUCAAGAACAGAUGAGAUGUGAGGUGUUUAGUGUGUGAAAAAUUUGAAGAAUAAACACAUUUGAAGAUUUUGUAGAAAACAUUUGAAUCAAGGAGGGCAGUAAAAGUAACUUUUAUUUACCCUAAACGAAGAACACGACGAACUGUGAGGUGGAGAAGUGAAGUUCGUCUGUGCAGAUCUUCCACGCCCUAACUCGGCGGAGGAAGACGGCUAUGGCGGCGGAGGAGUGAAGAUUUCUGCGGCCGGCGCGAGUACGGCGGCGACGAGGUCGAGGCAGUGAAGCUCUUCCUCACCGGCGAUGAUGAAGUAGCGGCGGCACUAGGGUUUGAGAAGCUCGAGCUGGAGAGAGAUCGAGCGGAGUAAAAGAAGUGAGGAAGGGGAGAGGGGGUAUUUAUAUCCACGGUGAAAAACUGUUCGCCCGAAGAAAUCAGACGAACGUGCCCCUGACCCUUCUCAUUCGCUUGACAUGUGUCACCCAUGUACUGAGAAGUGGAGAUCGUGUUAGAUCGUGGGUGAAUAGAUAAGUAUAUCGUGGGAUGCGGAACGGUUUGAGCGGCAAAGCCGAAAAUUUUGGAUAAGAUAAGUUAAAAGUUCCGUUCGCAAAUUCUUCAGCUGACAAGGACACAGUGAAGAUUUUGAACGAGUUUCAAAUAGAACGCACAUGAAGAAUUUGUGAAUAGAUUGGGUUGAGUAUAGCAUAGAGGGGGAAGGGUCUGAUCACAUUCACUUAGCAGAAAAACCAACUUGAAGAAUUAGCCAUAAGUGAAUGCUGUAGAGGACAUAAACUCAUAUAUAUAUAUAUAUAUAUAUAUAUAUAUAUAUAUAUAUAUAUAGCUAAUGAAGAAAAAUGACGGAGAAGGUGAAGACAAUGCAAAGUUGAAGAACAUGAACAACUGAGGAGUUUCAAAACUGAGGAAAAACUCAAAUUGAAGAUUUUCAACUUUUGUGGUGGCGUGACCCACCGUAUAAGAAUGAUGAUUUCAGACACUGCGUACAAUUGUCGUAGGGUUCUGAGAAUCAAAUUCUUCAUUAAUGUCUUCACACUUAGAGUGUUAUUCUUCAUUGAUUGAAGAAAAAUGUUUCUUCAUGUGUUGCACAUCUAAGUCAUCAAUUUUGCAUAAGUGUUAGGAUGAGUGUCCUUUUCAAAGAACAUUCGAAGAUUUUAGGAUAUUUAGCUCACACCGCAACUUGCUAAAUCUCUUCUCAUCCAAGGGCUUUGUGAAGAUAUCGGCUAGCUAUUCUUCAGUCUUCACAUGCUCAAUAGAAAUGUCGCCCUUCAACACAUGAUCACGAAGAAAAUGAUGACGAAUCUGAAUGUGCUUUGUCUUCGAGUGCUGAACUGGGUUGUGAGCAAUCUUGAUGGCACUCUCAUUGUCACAGAAGAGAGGCACAUUCUUCAUGUUGACGCCGUAGUCCUUGAGAGUUUGCUUCAUCCACAGCAAUUGAGCACAGCAAGAAUCAACAGCAAUGUACUCAGCUUCAGCAGUAGACAGUGAUACGCAGUUCUGUUUCUUCGAGGACCAACAGACCAAAGAUCGUCCGAGGAAAUGACAUGUACCUGUUGGAAAUAUGCCCUAGAGGCAAUAAUAAAAUGGUUAUUAUUGUAUUUCCUUGUUCAUGAUAAUUGUCUAUUGUUCAUGCUAUAAUUGUAUUAACUGGAAACCGUAAUACAUGUGUGAAUACAUAGACCACAACAUGUCCCUAGUAAGCCUCUAGUUGACUAGCUCGUUGAUCAAUAGAUGGUUAUGGUUUCCUGACCAUGGACAUUGGAUGUCAUUGAUAACGGGAUCACAUCAUUAGGAGAAUGAUGUGAUGGACAAGACCCAAUCCUAAGCAUAGCACAAGAUCGUGUAGUUCGUUUGCUAACAGCUUUUCUAAUGUCAAGUAUCGUUUCCUUAGACCAUGAGAUUGUGCAACUCCCGGAUACCGUAGGAAUGCUUUGGGUGUACCAAACGUCACAACGUAACUGGGUGGCUAUAAAGGUGCACUACAGGUAUCUCUGAAAGUGUCUGUUGGGUUGGCGCGAAUCGAGACUGGGAUUUGUCACUCCGUAUGACGGAGAGGUAUCUCUGGGCCCACUCGGUAAUGCAUCAUCAUAAUGAGCUCAAUGUGACUAAUGAGUUAGCCACGGGAUCAUGCGUUACGGAACGAGUAAAGUGACUUGCCGGUAACGAGAUUGAACGAGGUAUUGGGAUACCGAUGAUCGAAUCUCGGGCAAGUAACAUACCGAUUGACAAAGGGAAUUGUAUACGGGAUUGAUUGAAUCCCCGACAUCGUGGUUCAUCCGAUGAGAUCAUCAUGGAACAUGUGGGAGCCAAUAUGGUUAUCCAGAUCCCGCUAUUGGUUAUUGGCCGGAGAGGUGUCUCGGUCAUGUCUGCAUGGUUCCCGAACCCGUAGGGUCUACACACUUAAGGUUCGGUGAUGCUAGAGUUGUUAUGGGAAAUAGUAUGUGGUUACUGAAGGUUGUUCGGAGUCCCGGAUGAGAUCCCGGACGUCACGAGGAGUUCCGGAAUGGUCCGGAGGUAAAGAUUUAUAUAUGGGAAGUCAUCAUACGGUCACCGGGAGUAUUCGGGGGUAUGCCGGUAUUGUACCGGGGCCACCGAAGGGGUUCCGGGGCUCCACCGGGAGGGUCCACCUGCCCCGGAGGGCCUUAUGGGCUGUAGGUGGAAGGGAACCAGCCCCUAAGUGGGCUGGGCACCAACCUCCCCCUAGGGCCCAUGCGCCUAGGGUUGGGGGAAACCCUGGAGGGGGCGCCCCCCUUGACUUGGGGGGCAAGCCACCCUCCCUGGCUGCCGCCCCUCCCACCAGAUGGGAUCUAAGGGGCUGGCCCCCCUCUCCCUUGCCCCUAUAUAUAGUGGAGGGGUGGGAGGGCAGCCGCACCCCUGGCCUGGCGCAGCCCUCUCCUCCUCCAACUCCUCCUCCUCCUCCGUAGUGCUUAGCGAAGCUCUGCCGGAGAACCACGAGCUCUGUUGCCACCACGCCGUCGUGCUGCUGGAGUUCUCCCUCAACUUCUCCUCUCCCCUUGCUGGAUCAAGAAGGAGGAGAUGUCCCCGGACUGUACGUGUGUUGAACGCGGAGGCGCCGUCCGUUCGGCGCUAGAUCGGAUCUUCCGCGAUUUGAAUCGCUGCGAGUACGACUCCAUCAACCGCGUUCUUGUAACGCUUCCGCUUAGCGAUCUUCAAGGGUAUGAAGAUGCACUCCCUCUCUCUUGUUGCUAGCAUCUCCUAGAUUGAUCUUGGUGACACAUAGGAAAAUUUUGAAUUAUUGCUACGUUCCCCAACAGUGGCAUCAUGAGCUAGGUCUAUGCAUAGAUUCUAUGCACGAGUAGAACACAAAGUAGUUGUGGGCGAUGAUUUGUUCAAUUUGCUUGCCGUUACUAGUCUUAUCUUGAUUCGGCGGCAUUGUGGGAUGAAGCGGCCCGGACCGACCUUACACGUACUCUUACGUGAGACAGGUUCCACCGACUGACAUGCACUUGAUGCAUAAGGUGGCUAGCGGGUGUCUGUCUCUCCCACUUUAGUCAGAUUGGAUUCGAUGAAGAGGGUCCUUAUGAAGGGUAAAUAGCAAUUGGCAUAUCACCGUUGUGGCUUUUGCGUAGGUAAGAAACGUUCUUGCUAGAAACCCAUAGCAGCCACGUAAAACAUGCAACAACAAUUAGAGGACGUCUAACUUGUUUUUGCAGGGUAUGCUAUGUGAUGUGAUAUGGCCAAAAGGAUGUGAUGAAUUAUAUAUAUGUGAUGUAUGAGAUUGAUCAUGUUCUUGUAAUAGGAAUCACGACUUGCAUGUCGAUGAGUAUGACAACCGGCAUGAGCCAUAGGAGUUGUCUUAAUUUAUUGUAUGACCUGCGUGUCAAUGAAAAACGCCAUGUAAUUACUUUACUUUAUUGCUAACCGUUAGCCAUAGUAGUAGAAGUAAUAGUUGGCGAGACAACUUCAUGAAGACACGAUGAUGGAGAUCAUGAUGAUGGAGAUCAUGGUGUCAUGCCGGUGACGAAGGUGAUCAUGCCGCGCCUCGAAGAUGGAGAUCAAAAGGCGCAAGAUGAUAUUGGCCAUAUCAUGUCACUUUAUGAUUUGCAUGUGAUGUUUGUCAUGUUUACAUCUUAUUUGCUUAGAACGACGGUAGCAUAAAUAAGAUGAUCCCUCACUAAAAUUUCAAGAGAUGUGUUCCCCCUAACUGUGCACCAUUGCGAAGGUUCAUUGUUUCGAAGCACCACGUGAUGAUCGGGUGUGAUAGAUUCUAACGUUCGCAUACAACGGGUGUAAGCCAGAUUUACACAUGCAAAACACUUAGGUUGACUUGACGAGCCUAGCAUGUACAGACAUGGCCUCGGAACACAAGAGACCGAGAGGUCGAACAUGAGUCGUAUAGUAGAUACGAUCAACAUGGAGAUGUUCACCGAUGAUGACUAGUCCGUCUCACGUGAUGAUCGGACACGGCCUAGUUGACUCGGAUCAUGUAUCACUUAGAUGACUAGAGGGAUGUCUAUCUGAGUGGGAGUUUAUUAAAUAAUUAGAUGAACUUAAUUAUCAUAAACAUAGUCAAAAGGUCUUUGAAAAUUAUGUCGUAGCUUACGCUUUAGUUCUACUGUUUAAGAUAUGUUCCUAGAGAAAAUUUAGUUGAAAGUUGACAGUAGCAAUUAUGCGGACUGGGUCCGUAUACUGAGGAUUGUCCUCAUUGCUGCACAGAAGGCUUAUGUCCUUAAUGCACCGCUCGGUGUGCUGAACCUCGAGCAUCGUUUGUAGAUGUUGCGAAACAUCUGACAUACACAUUUUGAUGACUACGUGAUAGUUUAGUGCAUAAUGCUAACGGUUUAAAAUUGUGGCACCAAAGACGUUUUUUGAAACGUCGCAGAACAUAUGAGAUGUUCCAAAGACUGAAAUUGGGAUUUCAGACUAGUGCCCACGUCAACAGGUAUGAGACCUCUGACAAGUUUCUUAAGCCUGCAAACUAAGGGAGAAAAGCUCAACCGUUGAGCAUGUGCUCAGAUUGUCUGAGUACUACAAUCGCUUGAAUCGAGUGGGAGUUAAUCUUCCAGAUGAGAUAGUGAUGGUUCUCCAAAGUCACUGCCACCAAGCUACUAGAGCUUCGGAUGAACUAUAACAAAUCAGGGAUAGAUAUGAUGAUCCUUGAGCUAUUCGCGAUGUUUGACACCACGAAAGUAGAAAUCAAGUAGGAGCAUCAAUUGUUGAUGGUUAGUAAAACCACUAGUUUCAAGAAGGGCAAGGGAAAGAAGGGAUACUUCAUGAAACGGCAAAUCAGUUGCUGCUCUAGUGAAGAAACCCAAGGUUGAACCCAAACCCGAGACUAAGUGCUUCUGUAAUGAGGGGAACGGUCACCGAAGCAGAACUACCCUAGAUACUUGGUAGAUGAGAAGGUAGGCAAGGUCGACAGAAGUAUAUUGGAUAUACAUUAUAUUAAUGUGUACUUUACUAGUACUCCUAGUAGCACCAGGGUAUUAGAUACCGGUUCGGUUGCUAAGUGUUGGUAACUCGAAAUAAAAGCUGCGGAAUAAACGGAGACUAGCUAAAGAUGAGAUGACGAUAUGUGUUGGAAGUGUUUCCAAGGUUGAUAUGAUCAAGCAUCGCAUGCUCCCUCUGCCCUCGAGAUUGGUGUUAAACCUAAAUAAUUGUUAUUUGGUUUUUUCGUUGAGCAUAGACAUGAUUGGAUUAUGUUUAUCGCAAUACGGUUAUUCAUUUAAGGAGAAUAAUGGUUACUCUUUUGAAUAAUACCUUCAAUGGUCUUGCACCUAAAAUGAAUGGUUUAUUGAAUCUCGAUCGUAGUGGUACACAUGUUCAUGCCAAAAGAUAUAAGAUAGUAAUGAUAGUACCACAUACUUGUGGCACUGCCACUUGAGUCAUAUUGGUAUAAAACACAUGAAGAAGCUCCAUGUUGAUGGAUCUUUGGACUCACUCGUUUUUGAAAAGAUUGAGACAUGCGAACCAUGUCUAUUAGUAUAUAUGCAUGAAGAAAGUCCAUACAGAUGGAUCGUUUGGACUCACUUGAUUUUGAAUCACUUGAGAGAUGCAAAUCAUACCACAUGGGCAAGAUGACUGAAAGGCCUCGUUUUCAGUAAGAUGGAACAAGAAAGCAACUUGUUGGAAGUAAUACAUUUUGAUGUGUGCAGUCCAAUGAGUGCUGAUGCAUGCAGUGGAUAUCGUUAUGUUCUUACUUCACAGAUGAUUUGAGUAGAUGCUGAGUAUAUUUACUUGAUGAAACACAAGUCUGAAUUAUUGAAAGGUUCAAGUAAUUUCAGAGUGAAGUUGAAGAUCGUCGUGACAAGACGACAAAAUGUCUGUGAUAUGAUCGUAGAGAUGAAUAUUUGAGUUACGAGUUUGGCACACAAUUAAGACAUUGUGGAAAUUGUUUCACAACUAAUACCGCCUGGAACACCAUAGUGUGAUGGUGUGUCCGAACAUCAUAACUGCACCCUAUUGGAUAUGGUGCAUACCAUGAUGUCUCUUAUCAAAUUACACUAUCGUUUAUGGGUUAGGCAUUAGAGACAACCGCAUUCACUUUAAACAGGGCACCACGCAAUUCCGUUGAGACGACACCGUAUGAACUAUGGUUGAGAGAAACCUAAGCUGUAGUUUCUUAAAAGUUUGGGGCUGCGACGCUUAUGCGAAAAAGUUUCAGGCUGAUAAGCUCGAACCCAAAGCGGAUAAAUGCAUCUUCAUAGAAUACCCAAAACAGUUGGGUAUACCUCCUAUUUCAGAUCUGGAAGCAAAAGUGAUUGUUUCUAGAAACGGGUCCUUUCUCGAGGAAAAGUUUCUCUCGAAAGAAUUGAGUGGGAGGAUGGUGGAGACUUGAUGAGGUUAUUGAACCAUGACUUCAACUAGUGUGUAGCAGGGCACAGGAAGUUGUUCCUGUGGCACCUACACCAAUUGAAGUGGAAGCUUAUGAUAGUGAUCAUGAAACUUCGGAUCAAGUCACUACCAAUCCUCGUAGGUCGACAAGGAUGCGUACUACUUCAGAGUGGUACAUAAUCCUAUCUUGGAAGUCAUGUUGCUAGACAACAAUGAACCUACGAGCUAUGGAGAAGCGAUGGUGGGCCCGGAUUCCGACGAAUGGCUCGAGGCCAUAAAAUCCGAGAGAGGAUCCAUAUAUAAAAACAAAGUAUAGACUCUGGAAGAACUACUUGAUGGUCGUAAGGCUGUUGGGUGCAGAUGGAUUUUAAAGGGAAAAUGGAUAGUGAUGGUAAGUAUCACCAUUAAGAAAGCUCGACUUGUCGUUAAGAUGUUUUCCGACAAGUUCAAGGAGUUGGCUACGAUGAGACUUUCUCACUCGUAGCGAUGCUAAGAGUCUGUUGGAAUUAUAUUAGCAGUUACUGCAUUAUUUAUGAAAUCUUGCAGAUAGGAUGUCAAAACAUUGUUUCCUCGACGAUUUUCUUGAGGAAAGGUUGUAUGUGAUACAACCAGAAGGUUUUGUCAAUCCUGAAAGAUGCUAACAAGUAUGCAAAGCUCCAACAAUCCUUCUAAGGACUGGAGUAAGCAUCUCGGAGUUGGAAUGUACGCUUUGAUGAGAUGAUCAAAGAUUUUGGGUUUUUACAAAGUUUAUGAGAAACUUGUAUUUCCAAAGAAGUGAGUGGGAGCACUACAGAAUUUUUUGAUGAGUAUAUGUUGUUAACAUAUUGUUGAUCAGAAAUGAUGUAGAAUUUCUGGAAAGCAUACAGGGCUAUUUGAAAAGUGUUUUUCAAUGGAAAACUGGAUUAAGCUACUUGAACAUUGAGCAUCAAGAUCUAUAAGGAUAGAUCAAAACCGCUUAAUAGUACUUUCAAAUGAAUACAUACCGUGACAAGAUUUUGAAGGAGUUCAAAAUAGAUCAGCAAAGAAGGAGUUCUUGGCUGUGUUACAAGGUGUGAGUAUUGAGUAAGACUCAAGACCUAACCACGGCAGAAGAGAGAGAAAGGACGAAGGUCGUCCCGUAUGCUUUAGACGUAGGCUCUACAGUAUGCUAUGUUGUGUACCGCACCUGAACUGUGCCUUGCCAUGAGUCAGUCAAGGGGUACAAGAGUGAUCCAGGAAUGGAUCACAUGACAGCGGUCGAACUUAUCCUUAGUAACUAGUGGACUAAGGAAUUUUCUCGAUUAUGGAGGUGGUAAAAGAGUUCGUCGUAAAGGGUUACGUCGAUGCAAACUUUGACACUAAUCCGGAUGACUCUGAGUAGUAAACCGGAUUCGUAUAGUAGAGCAAUUAUUUGGAAUAGCUCCAAGUAGCGCAUGGUAGCUGCAUCUACAAGAUGACAUAGAGAUUUGUAAAGCACACACGGAUCUGAAAGGUUCAGACCCGUUGACUAGUAACCUCUCUCACAAGCGAGAUAUGAACAAACCCCAUGGGUGUUGGAUUCAUUACAAUCACAUAGUGAUGUGAACUAGAUUAUUGACUCUAGUGCAAGUGGGAGACUGUUGGAAAUAUGCCCUAGAGGCAAUAAUAAAAUGGUUAUUAUUGUAUUUCCUUGUUCAUGAUAAUUGUCUAUUGUUCAUGCUAUAAUUGUAUUAACUGGAAACCGUAAUACAUGUGUGAAUACAUAGACCACAACAUGUCCCUAGUAAGCCUCUAGUUGACUAGCUCGUUGAUCAAUAGAUGGUUAUGGUUUCCUGACCAUGGACAUUGGAUGUCAUUGAUAACGGGAUCACAUCAUUAGGAGAAUGAUGUGAUGGACAAGACCCAAUCCUAAGCAUAGCACAAGAUCGUGUACUUCGUUUGCUAAGAGCUUUUCUAAUGUCAAGUAUCGUUUCCUUAGACCAUGAGAUUGUGCAACUCCCGGACACCGUAGGAAUGCUUUGGGUGUACCAAACGUCACAACGUAACUGGGUGGCUAUAAUGGUGCACUACAGGUAUCUCCGAAAGUGUCUGUUGGGUUGGCGCGAAUCGAGACUGGGAUUUGUCACUCCGUAUGACGGAGAGGUAUCUCUGGGCCCACUCAGUAAUGCAUCAUCAUAAUGAGCUCAAUGUGACUAAUGAGUUAGCCACGGGAUCAUGCGUUACGGAACGAGUAAAGUGACUUGCCGGUAACGAGAUUGAACGAGGUAUUGGGAUACCGACGAUCGAAUCUCGGGCAAGUAACAUACCGAUUGACAAAGGGAAUUGUAUACGGGAUUGAUUGAAUCCCCGACAUUGUGGUUCAUCUGAUGAGAUCAUCGUGGAACAUGUGGGAACCAAUAUGGGUAUCCAGAUCCCGCUAUUGGUUAUUGGCCGGAGAGGUGUCUCGGUCAUGUCUGCAUGGUUCCCGAACCCGUAGGGUCUACACACUUCAGGUUCGGUGACACUAGAGUUGUUAUGGGAAAUAGUAUGUGGUUAACGAAGGUUGUUCGGAGUCCCGGAUGAGAUCCCGGACGUCACGAGGAGUUCCGGAAUGGUCCGGAGGUAAAGAUUUAUAUAUGGGAAGUCAUCAUACGGUCACCGGAAGUAUUCGGGGGUAUGCCGGUAUUGUACCGGGGCCACCGAAGGGGUUCCGGGGGUCCACCGGGAGGGUCCACCUGCCCCGGAGGGCCUUAUGGGCUGUAGGUGGAAGGGAACCAGCCCCUAAGUGGGCUGGGCACCAACCUCCCCCUAGGGCCCAUGCGCCUAGGGUUGGGGGAAACCCUGGAGGGGGCGCCCCCCUUGACUUGGGGGGCAAGCCACCCUCCCUGGACGCCGCCCCUCCCACCAGAUGGGAUCUAAGGGGCCGGCCCCCUCUCCCUUGCCCCUAUAUAUAGUGGAGGGGUGGGAGGGCAGCCGCACCCCUGGCCUGGCGCAACCCUCUCCUCCUCCAACUCCUCCUCCUCCUCCGUAGUGCUUAGCGAAGCUCUGCUGGAGAACCACGAGCUCCGUUGCCACCACGCCGUCGUGCUGCUGGAGUUCUCCCUCAACUUCUCCUCUCCCCUUGCUGGAUCAAGAAGGAGGAGAUGUCCCCGGGCUGCACGUGUGUUGAACGUGGAGGCACCGUCCAUUCGGCGCUAGAUCGGAUCUUUCGCGAUUUGAAUCGCUGCGAGUACGACUCCAUCAACCGUGUUCUUGUAACGCUUCCGCUUAGCGAUCUUCAAGGGUAUGAAGAUGCACUCCCUCUCUCUCGUUGCUAGCAUCUCCUAGAUUGAUCUUGGUGACACGUAGGAAAAUUUUGAAUUAUUGCUACGUUCCCCAACAGUACCAGAUGUUGACUUGCGGUCCACACGAUCACCAGCAUAGUCAGAGUCAGAAUAUCCAAUGAGAUCAAAAGCCGAGCCCUUGGGGUACCAUAAUCCUAGUGUUGGUGUGUGAGCUAGAUAUCAAAGAAUAUGUUUCACAGCCUUAUGGUGUGAUUCCUUCGGUGUAGCUUGAAAUCGGGCACACAUGCAAACACUAAGCAUAAUAUCUGGCCUAGAUGCACAUAAAUACAAUAAAGAACCAAUCAUGGAGCGGUAUACCUUUUGAUCGAAGUCAAUACCAUUUUCAUCAGUGCACAGAUGGCCAUUUGUGGGCAUUGGAAUUUUGACGCCUUUGCAAUCUUGCAUGCCGAAUUUCCUCAGUACAUCCUUGAGGUAUUUCUCCUGAGAUAUGAAUAUGCCAUUUCGCUGUUGACGAAUUUGAAGACCUAAGAAGAAUUUCAACUCUCCCAUCAUAGACAUUUGAUAUUCUUCACCCAUCAUAUAGGCAAAUUCAUCACUAUAACGUUGGUCAGUACAGCCAAAGAUAAUAUCAUCACCAUAUAUUUGGCACACAAACAAUUCACCAUCAUAAGAUUUAGUGAAAAGAGUAGGGUCGAGUGAACCGGGUUUAAAGCCUUUCUUCAUGAGGAAUUCCUUCAAAGUAUCAUACCAUGCCCGAGGGGCCUGCUUGAGGCCAUAGAGGGCCUUAUUGAGUCUGAAGACUUUGUCAGGAUGCUUUGGAUCCUCAAAACCUGGGGGUUGAGCAACGUAUACUUCUUCCUCAAGCUUACCAUUGAGGAAUGCACUUUUCACAUCCAUUUGAUAUAAAGUGAUAUCAUGAUGGUUAGCAUAAGCAAGUAAUAUGCGAAUAGCUUCAAGUCUAGCAACAGUUGCAAAAGUUUCACCGAAAUCAAUUCCUUCAACCUGUGUGUAGCCUUGAGCUACUAGCCGUGCCUUAUUCCUCACCACAAGGCCAUUUUCAUCUUGCUUGUUGCGGUAGAUCCACUUUUUGCCAAUGAUAUUGUGUUUGCGAGGAUCUGGACGAUUGACCAGUUCCCAGACGUUGUUGAGCUCGAACUGAUGUAAUUCUUCUUGCAUGGCCUGAAUCCACUCAGGAUCCAGAAAUGCUUCAUCUACCUUAGUGGGCUCUGUGAUAGAGACAAAAGCAUAGUUCCCACAAAAGUUAGAUAAAUGUGAAGCUUUUGAGCGUGUGAGAGGACCUGGUGCUUCAAUGUCAUCGAUGAUCUUUUCAACUUGCACUUCUUUUGCAAUGCGAGGAUGAGUAGGUUGUCGUCGAGGAAUUUGAUCAGCAUUUUCUUCAACACCAUUUUCUUCAGCAUUUUCUUUAGGUGCAUUAGCUCGACGUUCUUCAUGUUCUGGAAUGAAUUCUUCAGCAGAUUCUUCGGUAGGAAUGACAUCCUCAGUAGCCUUGAACUUGAUAGUUUCCUCAGGUGCUGGUUCAUCUAUCACAGAGGGUAGGUGCUCUCUUUGCGAGCCAUUAGUUUCAUCAAACCGCACAUCUACAGUUUCAACAACCUUGUGAAGAAUGUUGUUGAAGACUCUGUAGGUGUGCGAGUCCUUUCCGUAACCAAGCAUAAAACCUUCAUGUGCUUUCGGUGCAAAUUUAGCAUUGUGAUGAGGAUCUCUAAUCCAACAUUUAGCACCGAAGACUUUGAAAUAACUCACAUUGGGUUUCUUGUCAGUGAGGAGUUCAUAGGCAGUCUUCUUGAAGAAUUUGUGAAGAUAUACCCUGUUGAUGAUGUGGCACGCAGUACAAAUUGCCUCAAUCCAGAAGUGACGAGGCGUCUUGUACUCAUCAAGCAUAGUGCGAGCCAUCUCAACAAGAGUUCUGUUCUUGCGCUCCACGACGCCAUUCUGCUGAGGAGCAUAAGGAGCAGAUAACUCAUGAGUAAUACCAAGUUCAUCAAGAUAGUCAUCAAGACCAGAAUUCUUGAACUAAGUUCCAUUGUCACUUCUGAUGUGCUUGAUCUUCACACCAAAGUUGGUUGAAGCCCUCGAGGAAAAUCAUUUGAAGACUUCCUGCACUUCAUGUUUGUAAGUAACAAUGUGUACCCAUGUGUAUCGAGAGUAAUCAUCAACAAUAACAAAGCCAUAGAGAGAUGCGUCAUUUGUGACAGCUGAGUAAUGAUUAGGACCAAAGAGGUCCAUGUGAAGCAAUUCGAAUGGUCGAGUAGUGGUCAUGAUAGUCUUCGCUGGAUGCUUAGCCUUGGUCAUCUUUCCAGCUUCACAAGCUCCACACAAGUGAUCCUUGAGGAAUUUGACAUUCUCAAUGCCAAUGACAUGCUUCUUCUUCGCAAGCGUGUGAAAAUUCCUCAUGCCUACAUGACCAAGUUGUCGAUGCCAUAGCCACCCUUCUGAAGCUUUUGCAAGUAGGCACACGGCUGGUUGCGGUCUUGUAGAGAAAUCAACAAUAUACAAGUCUCCUCUCCUAAAGCCUUCGAAGACUUUGGAAUUGUCAGCUUCCAUAACCACAACACAACGAUACUUGCCAAAGACAACAACCAUAUCAAGAUCACAAAGCAUUGAGACAGACAUGAGGUUGUAUCCUAAGGACUCGACAAGCAUGACUUUGUCCAUGUGUCGAUCCUUUGUGAUCGCAACCUUACCUAGACCCAAUACCUGACUUUUUCCUUUGUCAGCGAAGAUGAUAUGCUUCAGAUGCGAUGGUGAUAAGGGAGCAUCCAUCAAUAGAUUCUUGUCACCAGUCAUAUGAUUUGUACAUCCACUAUCGAGGACCCACUCAGUGGCUUUGGGUUGAUCAUCCUGCAGAUGAAUUAGUGCAGCUUACGAACUUCAUAUACUUCAUCAGUGAAGAAUAUGACAUCACAAUUCAUCAGACCAAUUUCAUCAAGCAAUGCAACAUUUAAAACAAUAUGAGGACGUGAGAAAUGAAAGUUCAUUUCUUCAUGAUUAGCCUGCGUCCUUUCAGGCAGUUUUCAGGUCUCCAGCAAAUUCUUCAGACGUUUGAGCACGUCUGGAGACCUGACCCUGCAUAAAAGAUUAGUUAUUUUUCUUCACCACCGACAUCUGAAGGGGUGGCAAAGAGUUCAUCACUCUGCGAGCUCCAUACGAGAAAGGUGGCAUAGAAGCCAAUCCAUUCCGUUUCACAUAAGAGGAGUUAGGGUAAGCAUAUGAAUAAGCAGAGAAAUUCUUCGAGGACUUAUGAACAUAAUGAUUAGAAGAAUAAUGCUCAUAUUCAUAGCCCUUGGCUCUUCCCUCCGAAACAGAGUUGUUAACACGAUGAUGUUCAUAUGAGGACUUUGAUCCAUGUGAGGAAUUUGGUCUGUAUGAGGACUUGGAUCCAUAUGAAGAAUUUGGUCCAUAUGAAGAAUUUGAUCUGGGGUUCCUAUUCUUCACAGGUGGUGUCAUGAGGACAUUCACCUGAAGACUUUCAAGGCACCUUUUGGGAACCCAGAUUUUCUUCAUAGGAGAACCGUUCCUGCAGUUAGUGCCAACAUAUCUAGCAAAUACUUCACCAUUCUGAUUUUUGAACAGUUUAUAGUUGGAGUCAAAUGACUCAUCAGAAGAAUGAGAAGAUUCACAUGUAAAGCCAUAUAAAUUAGAUGGAUCAACUGGAGGUCCCUUUGCAGCAACCCAUGAGGUUUUGGGGUACUGCUCAGGCUUCCAAUAUGUACCAUCAGCAUUGAGUUUCCUCUCAAAGGCAAUACCCUCUUUCCUAGGGUUCCUAUUGAGGAUAUGCUUUUUAAGCACAUCACAAAGAGUCUGAUGCCCUUUGAGGCUUUUGUACAUGCAUGUCAUGUACAAUUCCUUUAGCCCUGCAUCGUCAGUGAUACUAGCAAUGUCCUCAGAUGAGGAAUUAGUGAUAGCAGAGACAAUUGAAGAAUUUGUAGCAUUAGAAGCAUUUGAACAUUCAGGUGAAGAAUUAGCAGAUUCACGUUCAAUGCAUUUCAAGCAUGGAGGAAAAAAAUUCUUCCUGAGCAGCACUGAUUUUUUGAGCAAGUAGUGAAUCGCGCUCCUUCUGAAGAUCUUGAUAACUCACUCUUAGCUUCUCAAGAUCUUGCUUUCUUUGAAGAAAUUCAUAAGAAAGCUUCUCAUGAUCAGACAAGAGAGUGUUAUGAUGACCUUGAAGGUUGUCAAACCUAGUCUGAAGUCUCUGAAGAUUUUUAAUCAAGGUUUUAGUGCGAUCCAUUUCUUCACCCAACAUAUCAUCACUUUUGUCUAGCAUGUUUUGAACCUUUUCAAAGGCCCUUUGUUGUUUCACAGCAAUCUUAGCAAGUUUAGAAUAGCUGGGCUUAAGGUUUUCAUCAGAUUCAUUCUCACUUGAUUCAGAGGAGGUAUAUUUGAGUACCUUGGCACCCUUUGCCAUGAAGCAAUAGGUGGGAGCGUAGUCAUCAUUGCCUUCAUCAGCCUUGUUGGUGAGGUCAUUUUCUUCAGUGUUGAAGAUAGACUUGCUGACGAAUGUGUUGAGGAACGUAGCAGAAAUUCAAAAUUUUCUACGCAUCACCAAGAUCAAUCUAUGGAGUAAUCUAGCACCGAGGGGAAGGGGAGUGCAUCUACAUACCAUUGUAGAUCGCGAUGCGGAAGCGUUGCAAGAACGCGGAUGAAGGAGUCGUACUCGUAGCGAUUCAGAUCGCGGUUGAUUCCGAUCUAAGCGCCGAACCACGGCGCCUCCGCGUUCAACACACGUGCAGCCCGGUGACGUCUCCCACGCCUUGAUCCAGCAAGGAGAGAGGGAGAGGUUGGGGAAGACUCCGUCCAGCAGCAGCACAACGGCAUGGUGGUGAUGGAGGAGCGUGGCACUCCUGCAGGGCUUCGCCAAGCACUGCGAGAGACGAGGAGGGAGAGGGGUAGGGCUGCGCCAAGAGAGAGAUGUUCUCAUGUCUAUGGCAGCCCCAAAACCCCCACUAUAUAUAGGGGAGGGGGAGGGGCUGCACCCCCAUCUAGGGUUCCCCCCCAAGGGGUGCGGCCAGCCCUAGAUGGGAGUUGGAGGGGCGGCCAAGGGGGGAGAGAGGGGGCGCACCACUAGGUGGGCCUUAGGCCCAUCUGAGCCUAGGGUUUCCCCCUUCCCCCCUUCCCUGCGCCUUGGGCCCCUUGUGGGAGGCGCACCAGCCCACCUAGGGGCUGGUCCCUUCCCACACUUGGCCCACGCAGCCCUCUGGGGCCGGUGGCCCCACCUGGUGGACCCCCGGGACCCUCCCGGUGGUCCCGGUACGUUACCGAUAGCACCUGAAACUUUUCCGGUGACCAAAACAGGACUUCCCAUAUAUAAAUCUUUACCUCCGGACCAUUCCGAAACUCCCCGUGACGUCCGGGAUCUCAUCCGGGACUCCGAACAACAUUCGGUAACCACAUAUAUCUAUUCCCUAUAACCCUAGCGUCAUCGAACCUUAAGUGUGUAGACCCUACGGGUUCGGGAACCAUGCAGACAUGACCGAGACGUUCUCCGGCCAAUAACCAACAGCGGGAUCUGGAUACCCAUGUUGGCUCCCACAUGUUCCACAAUGAUCUCAUCGGAUGAACCACGAUGCCGGGGAUUCAAUCAAUCCCGUAUACAAUUCCCUUUGUCAAUCGGUAUGUUACUUGCCCGAGAUUCGAUCGUCGGUAUCCCGAUACCUUGUUCAAUCUCGUUACCGGCAAGUCUCUUUACUCGUUCCGUAACACAUCAUCCCGUGAUCAACUCCUUGGUCACAUUGUGCACAUUAUGAUGAUGUCCUACCGAGUGGGCCCAGAGAUACCUCUCCGUUUACACGGAGUGACAAAUCCCAGUCUCGAUUCGUGCCAACCCAACAGACACUUUCGGAGAUACCUGUAGUGCAUCUUUAUAGCCACCCAGUUAUGUUGUGACGUUUGGUACACCCAAAGAAUUCCUACGGUAUCCGGGAGUUGCACAAUCUCAUGGUCUAAGGAAAUGAUACUUGACAUUAGAAAAGCUUUAGCAAACGAACUACACGAUCUUGUGCUAGGCUUAGGAUUGGGUCUUGUCCAUCACAUCAUUCUCCUAAUGAUGUGGUCCCGUUAUCAACGACAUCCAAUGUCCAUGGUCAGGAAACCGUAACCAUCUAUUGAUCAACGAGCUAGUCAACUAGAGGCUUACUAGGGACAUGGUGUUGUCUAUGUAUCCACACAUGUAUCUGAGUUUCCUAUCAAUACAAUUCUAGCAUGGAUAAUAAACGAUUAUCAUGAACAAGGAAAUAUAAUAAUAACCAAUUUAUUAUUGCCUCUAGGGCAUAUUUCCAACAGAAUGCAGUAGCGAGGGCUAGGCUCGCCACACCGGUUCGGAAUCCUCAGAUGCCUCCUCUUCCUCAUUUUCUUCAGAUUCAGCCUCAGAGUCCAUUUCCUUGCUAAUGAAUGCCCGAGCCUUCUUGGAGCUGCUCUUCUUGUGAGACGAAGACUUUGAGGAUUUUGAUGAUGAAGAUUUUGAGGAUUUCUUCUUUUUCUUCGCAUCAUCAGAACUAUAAUCCUUGCAUUUCUUCUUCUUUGAUUCCUUUUCCCACUGAGGACAAUCUUGAAUGUAGUGUCCGGGUUUCUUGCAUUUGUGACAAAGCCUCUUCUUGUAGUCACUGGAUGAGGAAUCAUUGCUCCUUGAGGGUCUUCCGAAGCGACCACGUCUUGAGAACUUCUGGCAUUUCUUCACGAGUAGUGCUAGAUCAUGGCUCAGUUCUUCAGGGUCACCAAGGCUGCUGUCAGAGUCUUCAUCUUCAGACUCAGAAACUGCCUUGGCCUUCAGUGCACGUGAUUUGCCAUAGCUCGAACCUUAUAGAUCUCUCUUUUCAGCAAGUUGGAACUAAUGAGUGUUUAGCCUUUCGAGGAUAUCAGCGGGAUCAAGUGACUUGUAAUCAGCACAUUCUUGUAUCAUCAAUGCCAGAGUAUCAAAUGAGGAGUCAAGCGAUCUCAACAAUUUCUUCACCACCUCAUGGUCGGUGAUGUCAGUGGCACCAAGCGCUUGAAGCUCAUUUGAGAUGUCAGUGAGGCAAUCGAAGGUUUGUUGAACAUUUUCAUUGUCGAGUCUUUUGAAGCGGUUGAAGAGAUUGCGAAGAACAUCAACUCGAGAGUCACGCUGAGUUGAGACUCCUUCAUUCACUUUGGACAGCCUAUCCCAGAUAAGCUUAGCAGUUUCCAAAGCACUCACUCUUCCAUACUGUCCUUUGCUCAGAUGGCCACAUAUGAUAUUCUUCGCUUGAGAAUCGAGUUGCUUGAAUCUCUUCACAUCGGUAGCAUUCAGUGAGGGUGAGACAGAGGGAACACCAUUUUCCACAACAUACCAGAGAUCGUUAUCAAUUGCCUCAAGAUGCAUUCGCAUCUUAUUCUUCCAGUAGGGGUAGUCCGUCCCAUCGAAGGUAGGACACCCAGCAGAGACCUUGAUCAUACCUGCGGUCGACAUAACUAAAACUCCAGGCGGUUAAACAAAAAUCACAUAGAACAAGGGAGUACCUUGCUCUGAUACCAAUUGAAAGUGCGUUAUAUCGACUAGAGGGGGGGUGAAUAGGCGAUUUUUAUGAAUUCUUCACUGAGGAAUUUUCUAGUGAGGAAAUUCCUUAGCGAAGAACUACUUGCAGCUCAAAAGUAUGCACAGCAGAACACAAGCAUGGUCAUCAUGAUGAAAUGAAGACAAGCACAGGGUACAGAAAGCGUAAACACAGGAUAACACAGGAUGAAGACAAACAGAUUGAAGAAAUUGAACUGAGGAAAUUGAGAAAGUCUUCAGUCAAAGUCUUCAAACACAGAAAUAAACAAGCAUACAACGCAAUAAUGAGGAAAUGAAAGAGUUGAGGAAAUAGAACCAGUAAGCUUGGUGAAGACAAUGAUUUGGUAGACCAGUUCCAACUACUGUCUCAGUUGUACGUCUGGUUGGAGCGGCUAGGUAUUUAAACCUGAGGACACACAGUCCCGGACACACAGUCCUCACCGUAUUCUCCUUGAGCUAAGGUCACACAGACCUCGCCCAAUCACUCGUGGUAAGUCUUCAGGUGACUUCCGAACCUUCACAAACUCGGUCACUCGGCGAUCCACAAUUCCUCUUGGAUGCUCUAGACCAUGACGCCUAACCGUCUGGAAGAAGCACAGUCUUCAAAGGUAACAAGCGUCGGAUCCACGCAGGAUCAAUCUCUUUAGUGAUGCUCAAUCACUUGGGGUUUGUAGGUGUUUGGGUUUGGGUUUUCCUCACUUGAUGAUUUUCGCUCAAAGUCCUCGGAGGAUGGGAUGCUCUCAAAUGACAAGUGUCAGUUUCUCUCGGAGCAGCCAGCCAGCUAGUGGUUGUAGGGGCGGCUAUUUAUAGCCUAGGGAGCAGCCCGUCAUGAUAAGACAUAAAUGCCCUUCAAUGAUAUGACCAUUAGGUGGGUAGAUAUUUUGGGACAGCUGGCGCAUAGCACAGCAACGGUAGGAAAUUUGAGUAUCAAAUUCCUCAGGGCUAUCAUGUUCCUCACUGUGUAGGCAAUCCGCACUGGCGAAUUCCUAACUCCUCAGUCAGAACAAAUUCCUCAGAGACCAGAAGAACUUCAUCUCUGUCACUGAAGAAUAUGACUGAACUGUAUGAAAUUUCCAAUGGCUUCACUCGAAGGGAUUGGUAGGUGUAGGAUUUUGAGUUGAGCAUCACAUGGAAAAUUUUCCUUAGUAUUUCCUCGACCCCCUUUAACAGUACGGUGUUUCCUAUGACUCAAGAAAGAGAAAAUGAAACUACGAAAACAAAAGUCUUCACGCUUCAUGUUCCUCAAAUGAAUACCAAGUCUUCAAGGUCACACCAAUUUCUUCACUUUCAAAGUCUUCAGAAAGUCUUCAGAAAUCCAAAGUCUUCAGUCGAAGAACUUCAUUUUUAGGGGUCGGAUUUUUGUGUAAAUAUCAAACUGCUCAUAGACUUAUAGACCUGUGUACACUCAUAAACACAUUAGCCCCUUAACCUAUAAGUCUUCAAUACACCAAAAUCACUAAGGGGCACUAGAUGCACUUACACCUGGUCGCAAUAUUCUUGAGGGAGUGAUUUUUCUUCAUGGAACGACCCAUGAGCUCCACACUAAGAAACUUGAUGGGGUUUAAGGUGGACUUUGAAAAGGCAUACGACAAAGUAAAGCGGCCUUUUCUUUAACAAGCCCUUCACAAGAAAGGUUUUGUGGCUCAAUGGAGGAAACAAGUGAUUUUUUACAUUCAGGGUGGGAGUAUCGGGGUUAAGGUGAAUGAUGAAAUCGGUCAUUAUUUCCGAACCCAGAAGGGACCGAGGCAAGGUGACCCCAUGUUGGCAAUCUUAUUUAAUUUGUGGCAGAUAUGUUGGCUAUUCGCAUAGCACGAGCUAAGGAGUAUAGUCAGGUUGGGGGGCUUAUCCCUCAUCUGGUUGAUGGAGGUGUGUCUAUCAUCCAGUAUGCGGAUGACACGGUCCUUUUUAUGGAACAUGACCUGCAAAAUGAAGGAAAUAUGCCCUAGAGGUAAUAAUAAAGUUGUUAUUUUAUAUUUCCUUAUUCAUGAUAAAUGUUUAUUAUUCAUGCUAGAAUUGUAUUGAUCGGAAACCUAAAUACAUGUGUGAAUACAUAGACAAACACCGUGUCCCUAGUGAGCCUCUACUUGACUAGCUCAUUGAUCAAAGAUGGUUAAGGUUUCCUAAUGAUGUGAUGGACAAGACCCAUCCGUUAGCUUAGCAUAAUGAUCGUUCAGUUUUAUUACUAUUGCUUUCUUCAUGUCAAAUACAUAUUCCUUCGACUAUGAUAUUAUGCAACUCCCGGAUACCGGAGGAAUGUCUUAUGUGCUAUCAAAAGUCACAAAAUAACUGGGUGAUUAUAAAGAUGCUCUACAGGUAUCUCCGAAGGUGUUUGUUGAGUUGGCAUAGAUCGAGAUUAGGAUUUGUAACUCCGAGUAUCGGAGAGGUAUCUCUGGGCCCUCUCGGUAAUACACAUCAUAAGCUUGCAAGAAAACGACUAAGGAGUUAGUCACGAGGUGAUGUAUUACAGAACGAUUAAAGACACUUGCCGGUAACGAGAUUGAACUAGGUAUGAAGAUACCGACGAUCGAAUCUCGGGCAAGUAACAUACCGAUGGACAAAGGGAAUUACGUAUGUUGUCAUAACGGUUCGACCGAUAAAGAUCUUCAUAGAAUAUGUAGGAGCCAAUAUGGGCAUCCAGGUUCCGCUAUUGGUUAUUGAACGGAGAGGUGUCUCGGUCAUGUCUACAUAGUUCUCGAACCCGUAGGGUCCGCACGCUUAACGUUCGUUGACGAUAUAAUAUUAUAUGAGUUAUGUGAUUUGGUGACCGAAUGUUGUUUGGAGUCCCGGAUGAGAUAGGACAUGAUGAGGAGUCUAGAAAUGGUCGAGGGGUAAAUAUUGAUAUCUAGGACGAUGGUAUUCGGACACCGGGAGUGUUCCGGAGGGUACCGGGUACUUGUCGGGUCACCGGAAAGGAGUUUCGGGCACCCCCGACAAAGAUAUGGGCCUUAUUGGCCAAGUGAGGGAACACACGAGCCCUGGUGCACCCCUACAGAGGCCAGCCCUAUGAGGAGGAGAAGGAAAGAGGGGAGGGCAAGGAAAGUGUGGAUUAGGAUUCCUACUUCCUUCCCUCUCCCCCUCUUUCCUUCCCCCUCGGUUAUAUAUGGCAGGGGGACGCGCGGCUUGGGAGUGACUCCAAGUAGGAUUCCUCCUACUUGGGAGCCUACUAUGGCUUCUCCUCCCUCCCUCCCACCUAUAUAUAUAUGAGGAGGGGGGCCCUAGCACACACCAGACAAUUGCCUAGCCGUGUGCGGUGCCACCUUCCACAAUUUACACCCUCGGUCAUAUCUUCGUGGUGCUUAGGCGAAGCCCUGCGAGGAUCACUUAACCAUCACCGUCACCAUGCCGUCGUGCUGACGGAACUCAUCUACUACCUCGACGUCUUGCUGGAUCAAGAAGGCGAGGGACGUCACCUAGUUGAAUGUGUGCGGAACGCGGAGGUGCCGUGCGUUCGGUACUUGAUCGGUUGAAGCGUGAAGAAGUUCGACUACAUCAUCCGCGUUGUGAAAUGCUUCCGCUUACGGUCUAUGAGGGUACGUACACACACUCUCCCCCUCGUUGCUAUGCAUCUCCAUGGAUAGAUCAUUGCGUGUAAAUCACCGUUGUGGUUUUGAUGCAUAGGUAAGAACGGUUCUUGCUAGAAGCCUGUAGCAGCCACGUAACACUUGCAACAACAAAGUAGAGGACAUCUAACUUGUUUUUGCAUGGCAUGUUGUGAUGUGAUAUGGUCAAGACAUGAUGUGAUAUAUGUUAAUGUAUGAGAUGAUCAUGUUUUGUAAAAGUUAUCGGCAACCGGCAGGAGCAUUAUGGUUGUCUCUUUAUUGUGUGAAAUGCAAACGCCAUGUAAUUGCUUUACUUUAUCACUAUGCAUUAGCGAUAGUUGUAGAAGCAAUAGUUGGCGAGACGACCAUGACGCAAUGAUGGAGAUCAAGGUGUCAAGCCGGUGACAAUGGAGAUCAUGACGAUGCUUUGGAGAUGGAUAUCAAAAGCACAAGAUGAUGAUGGCCAUAUCAUGUCACAUAUUUUGAUUGCAUGUGAUGUUUAUCUUUUAUGCAUCUUUUGCUUAGUACGGCAGUAGCAUUAUAAGAUGAUCCCUUAACUAAAAUUUCAAGGUAUAAGUGUUCUCCCUGAGUAUACACCGUUGCGACAGUUCGUCGUGUUGAGACACCACGUGAUGAUCGGGUGUGAUAGACUCUACGUUCACAGACAACGGGUGCAAGACAGUUUUGCACAUGCGGAAUACUCGGGUUAAACUUGAUGAGCCUAGCAUGUACAGACAUGGCCUCGGAACACUGGAGACCGAAAGGUCGAACGUGAAUCAUAUAGUAGAUACGAUCAACAUAGAGAUGUUCACCAUUGAUGACUACCCCAUCUCACGUGAUGAUCGGACAUGGGUUAGUUGAUUUAGAUCACGUAUCACUUAGAUGACUUGAUGGAUGUCUAUCUAAGUGGGAGUUCUUAAGUAAUUUGAUUAAUUGAACUUAAUUUAUCAUGAACUUAGUCCUGAUAUUAUUUGCAUAUCUAUGUUGUAGAUUGGGCUGGAAUUUGAGCCGAGCCGAGCCAGCUCGGCUCGACUCGCUAGAGCUCGUUUCGUUAACGAGCUAGCUCGACUCGACUUGUUACUAUAACGAGCUCAAACCCGAGAUUGGCUCGACUCAUAUAACUCGCGAGUUGGCUCGUUUAGCUUGUUAAGCUCGUUAAAGAUACGAACAUAAAACCCUCAAAUAUGAUAAAAAUGAUUAUGUAUAUAUUAAACAUAUAUAUCACUAAACAAUUGUAAUUUUCUUGUAACACGUGAGUCUCCUGGGCGGCUGGGCCUUCAAGGGCCGGGCCUUGUGUUGUGUGCCUGGGACGUGGGGUGCUGAGUGGCUGAUCUUUUUCUUGGAUUGCUAGUGGCUGAUCUUUUGUACCGAGCCUAACGAGUUACACGAGUAGUUGUGAGAUUGGCUUGUUUAACUUGGUCUAUAAACAAUCUUAAACUAAAGCUCGACUUGACUCGUUAUUCUUCGAGUUCGAGUCGAUUUGAGCCGAGUCACGAGCUACUCAUUUAGCUCGCGAGCUUCGAGCUUUUUUCCAGCCCUAGUUGUAGAUCAAUAGCUCGCGUAUAGCUCCCCUGUUUUUAUUUUGAUAUGUUCCUAGAGAAAAACUAAGUUGAAAGAUGAUAGUAGCAAUGAAGCAGACUGGGUCCAUGAUCUGAGGAUUGUCCUCAUUGCUGCACGGAAGAAUUAUGUCCUUGAUGCACCGCUCGGUGACAGACUUGUUGUAGGAGCAGAUGCAGACGUUAUGAACGUUUGGCAAGCUCGAUAUGAUGACUACUUAAUAGUUUAGUGCGCCAUGCUUUACGGCCUAGAACCGGGACUUCAAAAACGUUUUGAAUGCCACAGAGCAUAUGAGACGUUCCACGAGCUGAAAUUGGUAUUUCAGACUCAUGCCCGUGUCGAGAGCUAUGAGACCUCUGACAAGUACUUUGCCUACAAGAUGGAGGAGAAUAGCUCAGCCAGUGAGCAUAUGCUCAGAAUGUUUGGGUGCUACAAUCGCUUGAAUCAAGUGGGAGUUAAUCUUCCAGAUAAGAUAGUGAUUGACAGAGUUCUCUAGUCACUAUCACCAAGCUACUAGAACUUUGUGAUAAACUAUAAUAUGAAAGGGAUGACGAAAAUGAUUCCUGAGCUCUUCGCGAUGCUGAAAUCGGCGAAGGUAGAAAUCAAGAAAUAGCAUCAAGUGUUGAUGGUUAACAAGUCCACUAGUUUCAAGAAAAAGGGCAAGGGAAAGAAAGGGAACUUCAAGAAGAAUGGCAAGCAAGUUGCCACUCCCGUGAAGAAGCCCAUAACUGGACCCAAGCCUGAAACCGAGUGCUUCUACUGCAAAGGAAAUGGUCACUAGAAGUGGAACUGCCCCAAAUACUUGGCGGAUAAGAAGGAUGACAAAGUGAACAAAGGUACAUCUGAUAUACAUGUUAUUGAUGUGUACCUUACUAGUGUUCAUAGUAGUGAUGUCUACUAUGCAACUUUAUUCUUGUAGAAUCGUGUUGGGCCUCCAAGCGCAGAGUUUUGUAGGACAAUAGCAAUUUUCCCUCAAGUGGAUGACCUAAGGUUUAGCAAUCUGUGAGAGGUGUAGGAUGAAGAUGGUCUCUCUCAAACGAUCCUGCAACCAAAUACAAGAAAUCUCUUGUGUACCCAACACACCCAAUAUAAUGGCAAAUUGUAUAGGUGCACUAGUUCGGCAAAGAGAUGGUGAUAAAUGUGUAAUAUGGAUGCUAGAAAUAUAUUUUUAUAAUCUGAAUAAAUAAAAACAUCAAGGUAGCAAUUAGUAAAAGGGCACAAAAAUGGUAUUGGAAUGCUUGAAAAAGAGGCCUAGGUUCGUACUUUCGCUAGUGAAAUUUCUCAACAGUCGUACGAAGCCACCUCAAAGCUAUUCUUUCCGAUCAAUCUAUCCUAGAGUUCGUACUAGAGUAACACAAGUUAUUCUUUCCGAUCGAUCUAAUCAAGAGUUCGUACUAAGAUAACACCAAAGCAAGUUCAUAUUCAUAAUACUCAAUCCACACAAAGAACUACAAGGAGACCCCAAAGUUUCUAUCGGAGAAAAGAUAAUAAAAACGUGCAUCAAGCCCUAUGCAUAGAUUACCCCAAUAUCACCACGGGAAUCCGCGAGUUGAAUGCAUAACACAUAUCAAGUGAAUCAAUAUGACACCCCAAUUGUCACCUCAAGUAUUCAUACCGCAAGACAUAUAUCAUGUGUUCUAUUCUCUGAAUAUUCAAUCCGACGGGACAAAACUUCAAAGGGUAAAGAUUCAAUUCAUCAUAACAAGAGUAUAGAGGGUAGAAACAUCAUAUGAUCCGACUAUAUUAUCAAAGCCCAUGAUAUAGAUCACGAGAGAGAGAGAGAGAUUAAACACAUAUCUACUGGUAAAACCCUCAGCCCCGAGGGUGGACUAAUCCCUCCUCAUCGUGGUGGCCGCCGGGAUGAUGAAGAUGGCCACCGGAGAUGAUUCCCCCCUCCGACAAGGUGCCGGAACGGGAUCUAAAUUGGUUUUCGUGGAUAAAGAGACCUUGCAGCGGCGGAACUUCUAAUCUAGGUUAACCCCGAUGGGUUUCAGAAUAUUUGGGAAUUUGUAGUGCAAAGAGGGGGUGCGGGAGGCCACCGAGGUGGCCACAACCCACCUGGGCGCGCCAGGCCCUCGCGGCACCCCCUAGGUGCAGCUCUGGCCCAUUGGGUUCCUUCUGGUCCAUAAAAAAUCCAUGUGGAGUUUCGUUGCGUUUGGACUGCGUUUGGUAUUGAUUUCCUGUGAUGUAAAAAACAAGCAAAAAACAGCAACUGGCACUGGGCACUGGGUCAAUAGGUUAGUCCAAAAAUGAUAUAAAGUUGCCAUAAAAUGAUUGUAAAACACCCAAGAAUGACAAAAUAAUAGCAUGAAUACUUCAUAAAUUAUAGAUACGUUGGAGACGUAUCAGCAUCCCCAAGCUUAAUACCUACUCGUCCUCGAGUAGGUAAAUGAUAAAAGAAAUAAUUUAUCAAGUGUGAAUGCUAGCAAAGUGCACAAGUUUGAUCAAUGACAAUUUCAAUCACUUUUCCUAGCAUCAUAACAGCAAUUCUUUCUCAUAAUUUUUUUCAUGUUAUAGUGGCAACCAAUUCACAUGUUAAGGUUUAAACAAUGAAUUCUCUUGAAACCCAACAACCUAUGUUCUUAGUCACCAAGAAAUUGCAAUUCAACUUAUUCAACAGAGUUUAAGUAAGAGCUCCAUAUACUCAACCAUCAUAUAGUCUUCUAUGAUUUCUAACACUCACCGCAUACACAUGAGCAAAAGGUUUCAACCGGACACGUAGAAAGAUAGGGGCUUAUUGUUUUUGCCUCCCAAUGUAUUCACCUCAAGGGUGAUGUCAACAAUAAUAACUCAUGCUACCCAUAUUCAACUGGACAUAUGUGCCUAGAUCUUUCCUCACCACAUGAUGCUUGCCAAAGAAGAAAAAUAAGAAGGAAUAGAGAGAAUAACUUUGACUCUUUGCAUAAAAGUAAAUACUGAAAAGUAAAAGAUAGGCCCUUCGUAGAGGGAAGUAGGGAUUUGUAGAGGUGCCAGAGCUCAAAGCGAAAAUUGAGAGAUAAAAAUAUUUUGAGAGGCAUACUUUUCCCACCAACGAAAACGACUUAGAGCUCCCAACACUUUCCAUGCUAGAUAUAUCAUAAGCGGUUCCCAAACAUAAAAUAAAUUUUAUUCCUUUUUCGACCAUACUUUCACUUUCCAUGGCUAGCCGUAUCCAUGGGUGCCCUCCAUACCAACACUUUCCAAGGAAUUUAUUAUUUGACAACAUAAAGUAAAUUCAUUUUUCAUUCCGGGACUGGGCAUCCCUAAUACCUUUGCCUUACUCUCGUGCAAUAACAAGUGAAUAAACACUCAUCGUGAGAAUAACACAUUUAGAGUGGAAAAUAUUGGCCACCCCUCACCGCCUUGCGAGUGGUACGAGCACACAAAAGAGAAAUUUAUUUUUGAAAAUUAGAGAUGGCACAUACAAAUUUGCUUAGAACGGCAUGAAAAUAUCGCAUAUAGGUAGGUAUGGUGGACUCUUGAAAAUAAGAUUUGGGUUUAAGGGUUUUUGGAUGCACAGGUAGUAUCUUACUUGGUGCGGAAUUUUUGGCUAGCAAAGAUGGGGGGCAAGCACCACAUGUUGAAGGAUCUAUGACAAUAUAACUUCUAUGUGAAUAGGAACAAACAUAAAUCAUUACGUUGUCUUCCUUGUCCAACGUCAACAAUUUUGGCAUAUAAUAUUUUGAUGGGGGCUCACAAUCACAAAAGAUUUCUAGGAUAGUGUAUUUGCAUGUCAAAUUUCUCUUCCUUAUACUAACUAUUCGUGAAUUGCUUGUAUGACCAAAAUUGUGAUUGUCAAGUCUCAAAAGAUUUCACUUUAUAAACCCAAUGUGAAGCUACCACUAGGCAUGAUAUGAUUUCAACUUCAUGACAUUCAAUUUAUUCAACAAUUUACCCGUAGGAUAUAAGUGAAGCACAAGAGUAAAUGACAAACUACUCCAAAAAGAUAUAAGUGAAGAUCGUGCGAGUAGUUAAGUAAAUAGGUAGAUAUUUGAGGACUCUCUCUUAUUAAAAACUUUCAGAUCUAAGUAAUUUAUUAAAACAGCAAGAAAAACAAAACAAAAUAAAUUGACGCUCCAAGUAAAACACAUAUCAUGUGACGAAUGAAAACAUAGCUCCAAGUGAGGUUACCGAUAAUGUUGGAGACGAAAGAGGGGAUGCCCCUCUUCCUUGCAUAUUACCUUGGGGUGCCUCGGGCAUCCCCAAGCUUAGGGUCUUGUCACUCCUUAUUCUCCUCAUAUCGAUAUAUCACCCAAAACUUGAAAACUUCAAUCACACAAAACUCAACGGAACUUUGUGAGAUAGGUUAGUAUGAUAAAGAGCAAACCAUUUCACUUUGGUACUGUCAAAGACAAGAUUCAUAAUUGUUUCCACACAAUGGCUACUGUAACAUAUCAUUUCCAUAAUUUAUAUUGAGCAAUAUAAGCCAUAGAAACUAGGAAACAAGCAAACUAUGCAUUGAAAAUAGAAUCUGUCAAAAACAGAACAAUUUGUAAUGAUCUAGAUAACUACCAUACUUCUGCUACUCCAAAAAUUAUGACCAUGUGAGCAAUUUGUAUAUUAAACUUCUGCAAAAACAAUCAACUCAAAAUCACUCUUCUGUUAAAAAUGAGACUCAUUUUUGUGAGCGCAAAAGUUUCUGUUUUUCAGCAGAGUCAAAUCAACUAUCACCCAACAUGAUCCCGAAGGCUUUACUUGGCAAUUUAUUGAAAUAAAAGCUAUAAAUCAUGAUCAAUACAGUAGCAUAAUCAUGUGAACACACAAAAACAGUAGGUAAAAGUGUUGGGUUGUCUCCCAACAAGCGCUUUUCUUUAAUGCCUUUUAAGCUAGGCAAGAUGAUUCAAUGAUGCUCACAUAAAAGAUAAGAAUUGAAACACAAAGAGCACAUCAUGCAUCAUAAGUUCCUCUCUCAUAAUAAUUUUCAGUAGCAUCAUGAAUAGAUUCAUCAAUAUAACCAUUACAUAAAGCAUUCUUUUCAUGAUCCACAAGCAUAGAAAAUUUAUUACUCUCUAUGGCAUACAUGUCAUCAUAAUAAUCAUCAUAGAAAGCAACUUUAUUGCCAUAGUUAGUUGAAACCUCUUCCAAAAUAGUGGAUGUAUCACUAAAUAAAGUCAUGAACUCUCCAAAUCCACUUUCAUCAAUAUUGUAAUGAGAUUCAACACCCUCCAAAAUAGUGGGAUCACUACUACCUUGAGUUGACACUCUUCCAAACCCACUUUUAUCAAUAUAAUCAUCAUAAAUAGGAGGCAUGCUAUCAUCAAAAUAAGUUUGAUCAAUCAAAGUAAGGGGACUAAAAAGAUCAUGUUCAUUAAACAUAGCAUCCCCAAUAUUGGGACAAACAUUAAUUGCAGAAAAUAAAUUCUCAAACAUGUCAUUCUCAUCAAACAUAGCAUCCCAAGCUUGUGGCUUGGCAUAUCAUAAGCAUAAUCACUCUCAUCAUUAAUAGUAUGAAUAGCACCAACGGUAUAACAAUUGCUAUCAUCAUAAUUUCCCAAGUUGGUGCCAAAAAGAUUUCCAAGAUUAUAAGAAGUAUCAUUAUCUUCCCAAUCAUAAUCAUCACAACAAGCAAUGGGCAUAACAAAAUCAUCAUCAAUAGUGCUCUCGGACAUUGUGCCAUAAGACAUAGAAGCAAUAUCAUCAUCAAGUGCAUCCUCCUCCUCAAUUAUUUUUGAUUCAUUUUCAUGAGGCACAACAAUAAUAGGAGCAACACUAUUUGGGAGAGAUACCUUUUUACCUCUCUUCUUUCUUCUUUUCUUCUUCUUCACCACAUCACGUGUGGGUUUAAUUAAUCUUUUCAAGCUUUUUAUUGAUGAGAUUGGUUGGAUAGGAAGCUCCUCCUCGUUACCUGAUUCAUCAUAAUAAACACUAGGAGGGUAUUGGGAAAUAUUUUCCCUUUCAUUAGUACUCUCUUCAUAUUCUAUUUGUUUUCUUGACUUUAGAUAGUUGUCAAUAUAAGGAUUCUCAAUGCAAUUUACCACACAAAACAUAUACAUUUCUUCUAGAUCAAAAUCAAGAAAUAUCUUGGGGUUUGGAAAACCCUUAGUUAUACGUUUAAUUUCUUCAUACCCCAAAAGAAGACUAAGCUCUUUAUGUUGCUCAAGGGUAAUCAAGUUAUCACAAUUUUGGGAUACGAUUUGAUCAUGAAAUAAUUUGCAUUGGAGAUUUAAAUGACCAUGUUCAUUGCAAGGUUCACAAGGAUGGCAAAAAAAUUACAUCUUUCAGUACAAUCAUCUAGCCUCUCUUGCAACUUUUUCAUUUCUAAAUAUUUAUGCUUCUUGCAAAAUCUAUCUUCCCUUUUUGGUGUGCAAAGGCACUCCCAAUUCACUCCGCAAAAAGUGACAUGCUUAUAAGAAACAUUUUUGUCAUGACUUGUGCAAUCAUCAUUAGCAUUUAGGAUAUUCAAAGAAUUCAUACUAACAACAUUGCCAUCAUGCUCAUCAUUCAAAUAUUUUGUGCCAAACAUUUUAUUGACUUCUUCUUCUAACAAUUGAGCACAAUUUUCCGAACCAUCAUUUUCAUGAAAGAUAUUAUAAAGAUGAUCAAUAAUAUGAUGCAACCUAAAUUCCAUUUUUAUGUAGUUUUCUUUUAUAGACCAAACUAGUGAUAAACAAGAAACUAAAAGAUUCAAUUGCAAGAUCUAAAGAUAUACCUUCAAGCACUCACCUCCUCGGCAACGGCGCCAGAAAAGAGCUUGAUGUCUACUACGCAACUUUAUUCUUGUAGACUCGUGUUGGGCCUCCAAGCGCAGAGUUUUGUAGGACAGUAGCAAUUUUCGCUCAAGUGGAUGACCUAAGGUUUAUCAAUCCGUGAGAGGUGUAGGAUGAAGAUGGUUUCUCUCAAACGAUCCUGCAACUAAAUACAAGAAAUCUCUUGUGUCCCCAACACACCCAAUACAAUGGCAAAUUGUAUAGGUGCACUAGUUCGGCGAAGAGAUGGUGAUAAAUGUGUAAUAUGGAUGCUAGAAAUAUAUUUUUAUAAUCUGAAUAAAUAAAAACAACAAGGUAGCAAUUAGUAAACGGGCACAAAAACAGUAUUGCAAUGCUUGAAAAAGAGGCCUAGGGUCCAUACUUUCGUAGUGCAAUUUCUCAACAAUGCUAACAUAGUUGGAUGAUAUGAUUAUCCCUCAAAGUGUAAUAAAGAAUCACUCCUGAGUUACUAUUAGCGGGGAACAAAAGAUAGGAAUUGUUUGUAGUGUACGAAGCCACCUCAAAGCCAUUUUUUCCGAUCAGUAUAUCCUAGAGUUCGUACUAGAGUAACGCAAGUUAUUCUUUCCGAUCGAUCUAAUCAAGAGUUUGUACUAAGAUAACACCAAAGCAAGUUCAUAUUCAUAAUACUCAAUCCACACAAAGAACUACAAGGAGACCCCAAAGUUUCUAUCGGAGAAAAGAUAAUAAAAACGUGCAUCAACCCCUAUGCAUAGAUUACCCCAAUACCACCGCGGGAAUCCGCGAGUUGAAUGCCAUAACACAUAUCAAGUGAAUCAAUAUGAUACCCCAAUUGUCACCUCAAGUAUUCAUACCGCAAGACAUAUAUCAUGUGUUCUAUUCUCUGAAUAUUCAAUCCGUCAGGACAAAACUUCAAAGGGUAAAGAUUCAAUUCAUCAUAACAAGAGUAUAGAGGGUAGAAACAUCAUAUGAUCCGACUAUAUUAACAAAGCCCAUGAUAUAGGUCACGAGAGAGAGAGAGAGACUAAACACAUAGCUACUGGUACAAACCCUCAGCCCCGAGGGUGGACUACUCCCUCCUCAUCGUGGUGGCCGCCAGGAUGAUGAAGAUGGCCACCGGAGAUGAUUCCCCCCUCCGGCAGGGUGCCGGAACGGGGUCUAGAUUGGUUUUCGCGGAUACAGAGACCUUGCGGCGGCGGAACUUCUGAUCUAGGUUAACCCCGAUGGGUUUCGGAAUAUUUGGGAAUUUAUAGUGCAAAGAGGGGGUGCGGGAGGCCACCGAGGUGGGCACAACCCACCUGGGCACGCCAGGCGCGCCCUGAUGGGUUGCGCCCCCCUUGAGGCACCCCCAGGUGCAGCUCUGGCCCAUUGGGUUCCUUCUGGUCCAUAAAAAAUCCAUGUGGAGUUUCGUUGCGUUUGGACUCCGUUUGGUAUUGAGUUCCUGCGAUGUAAAAAACAAGCAAAAAAACAGCAACUGGCACUGGGCACUAGGUCAAUAGGUUAGUCCCAAAAAAUGAUAUAAAGUUGCCAUAAAAUGAUUGUAAAACACCCAAGAAUGAUAAAAUAACAGCAUGAAUGCUUCAUAAAUUAUAGAUACGUUGGAGACGUAUCAAGUAGCCCCUGGGUAUUUGAUACUUGUUCAGUUGCUAAGAUUACUAAACUCAAAACAGGAGUUGCAGAAUGAACAGAGGCUAGUUAUGGGUGAAGUGAUGAUGUGUGUUGGAAGUGAUUCCAAGGUUGAUACGAUCACCAUCGCACACUCCCUCUACCUUCGGGAUUAGUGUUGAACCUAAAUAAAUGUCAUUUGGUGUUUGCGUUGAGCAUGAAUAUGAUUUGAUCAUGUUUAUUGCAAUACGGUUAUUCAUUUAAGUCAAAGAAUAAUUGUUGUUUUGUUUACAUGAAUAAAACCUUCUAUGGUCAUACACCCAAUGUUAAUGGUUUAUUGAAGCUCAAUCGUAGUGAUACACAUAUUCAUAAUAUUGAUGCCAAAAGAUGCAAAGUUGAUAAUGAUAGUGCAACAUACUUGUAGCACUGCCGUUUUGGUCAUAUUGGUGUAAAGCGCAUGAAGAAACUCCAUGCAGACGGACUUUUGGAAUCACUUGAUUAUGAAUUAUUUGAUACUUGCGAACCAUGCCUCAUGGGCAAGAUGACUAAAACUCCGUUCUUCGGAACAAUGAAGAGAGCUAAUGACUUAUUGGAAAUAAUACAUACCGAUGCAUGUAUGCGGUCUGAUGAGUGUUGAGGCACGCGGCGGGUAUCGUUAUUUUUUCUGACCUCCACAGAUUAUUUGAGCAGAUAUGGGUAUAUCUACUUAAUGGAACACAAGUCUGAAACAUUUGAAAAGUUCAAAGACUUUGGGAGUGAAGUGGAAAAUCAUCGUAACAAGAAAAUAAAGUUUCUACGAUCUGAUCGCGGAGGCGAAUAUUUGAGUUACGAGUUUGGCCUUCAUUUAAAAUAAUGUGGAAUAGUUUCACAACUCACGCCACCUGGAACACCACAAUGUAAUGGUGUGUCGGAACAUCGUAACCAUACUUUAUUGGAUAUGGUGCAUUCUAUGAUGUCUCUUACCGAUUUACCACUAUCGUUUUGGUGUUAUGCAUUAGAGACAGCCGCAUUCACGUUAAAUAGGGCACAGUCUAAAUCCGCUGAGACGACACCGUAUGAACUCUGGUUUGGAAAUAAAUCUAAGCUGUCGUUUCUUAAAGUUUGGGGAUGCGACACUUAUGUCAAAAGGCUUCAGCCUAAUAAGCUCGAACCUAAAUCGGAGAAGUGUGUCUUCAUAGGAUACCCUAAGGAAACAAUUGGGUACACCUUCUACCACAGAUCCAAAGGCCAGAUCUUUGUUGCUAAGAAUGGGUCCUUUCUAGAGAAGGAGUUCCUCUCGAAAGAAGUGAGUGGGAGGAAAGUAGAACUUGAUGAGGUAAUUGUACCUUCUCUCGAAUUGGAGAGUAGCACACCAGAGAAAUGCAUCCCGUGAUGCCUACACCAACUAGAGAGGAAGCUAAUGAUGAUGAUCAUGAAACUUUAGAUCAUGUUACUACCGGACUUCGUAGGUCAACUAGAACAUGUUCCGCACCAGAGUGGUACGGUAAUCCUGUCCUGGAAGUCAUGUUAUUAGACCAUGGCGAACCUACGAACUAUGAAGAAGCUGUGAUGAGCCCAGAUUCCGACAGAUGGCUUGAGGCCAUGAAAUCUGAUAUAGGAUCCAUGUAUACGAACAAAGUGUGGAAUUUGGUGGACUUGCCUGAUGAUCGGCAAGCCAUAGAGAAUAAAUGGAUCUUCAAGAAGAAGACUGACGCUGAUGGUAAUGUUACUGUCUACAAAGCUUGACUUGACGCAAAAGGUUUCUGACAAGUUCAAGGAGUUUACUACGAUGAGACUUUCUCACCCGUAGUGAUGCUUAAGUCCAUCCGAAUCAUGUUAGCAAUUGCCAUAUUUUAUGAUUAUGAAAUCUGGAAAAUGGAUGUCAAAACUGCAUUCCUUAAUGGAUAUCUCAAAGAAGAGUUGUAUAUGAUGCAACCAGAAGGUUUUGUCGAUCCUAAAGGUGCUAACAAAGUGUGCAAGCUCCAGCGAUCCAUCUAUGGACUGGCGCAAGCAUCUCGGAGUUGGAAUAUAUGCUUUGAUAAGGUGAUCAAAGCAUAUGGUUCUAUACAGACUUACGGUAAAGCCAGUAUUUACAAGAAAGUGAGUGGGAGCCCUGUAGCAUUUCUGAUAUUAUAUGUGGUUGACAUAUUGUUGAUUGGAAAUGAUAUAGAAUUUCUGGAUAGCAUAAAAGGAUACUUGAAUAAGAAUUUUUCAAUAAAAGACCUCGGUAAAGCUACUUAUGUAUUGGGCAUCAAGAUCUAUAGAGAUAGAUCGAGACGCUUAAUAGGACUUUCACAAAGCACACACCUUGACAAGAUUUUGAAGGAGUUCAAAAUGGAUCAGUCAAAGAAGGAGUUCUAGCCUAUAUUGUAAGGUGUGAUGUUGAGUAAGACUCAAAGCCCGACCACGACAGAAGAUAGAGAGAUAAUGAAAGUCAUUCCCUAUGCCUCAGCCAUACGUUCUAUAAAGUAUGCCAUGCUGUGUACCAAACCUGUUGUGUACCUUGCCAUGAGUUUGGCAAGGGGUGCAAUAAUGAUCCAGGAGUAGAUCACUAGACAGCGGUCAAAAUUAUCCUUAGAGGACUACGGAAAUAUUUCUCGGUUAUGGAGGUGAUAAAGAGUUCGUCGUAAAGAGUUACGUCGAUGCAAGCUUUACACCGAUCCAGAUGAUUCUGAGUCUCAACCUGGAUACGUAUUGAAAGUGGGAGCAAUUCGCUAGAGUAGCACCAUGCAGAGCAUUGUAGACAUAGAAAUUUGCAAAUAUACAUACGGAUCUGAAUGUGACAGACCCGUUGCUAAACUUCUCUCACAAGCAAAACAUGAUCACAUCUUAGUACUCUUUGAGUGUUAAUCACAUGGCGAUGUGAACUAGAUUAUUGACUUUAUUAAACUCUUUGGGUAUUGGUCACAUGGCGAUGUGAACUAUGGGUGUUAAUCACAUGACGAUGUGAACUAGAUUAUUGGCUCUAGUGCAAGUGGGAGACUAAAGGAAAUAUCCCCUAGAGGCAAUAAUAAAGUUGUUAUUUUAUAUUUCCUUAUUCAUGAUAAAUGUUUAUUAUUCAUGCUAGAAUUGUAUUGAUCGGAAACCUAAAUACAUGUGUGAAUACAUAGACAAACACUGUGUCCCUAGUGAGCCUCUACUUGACUAGCUCGUUGAUCAAAGAUGGUUAAGGUUUCCUAACCAUGGACAUGAGUUGUCAUUGGAUAACGGGGUCACAUCAUUAGGAGAAUGAUGUGAUGGACAAGACCCAUCCGUUAGCUUACCAUAAUGAUCAUUCAGUUUUAUUGCUAUUGCUUUCUUCAUGUCAAAUACAUAUUCCUUCGACUAUGAGAUUAUGCAACUCCCGGAUACCGGAGGAAUGCCUUGUGUGCUAUCAAACGUCACAACGUAACUGGGUAAUUAUAAAGAUGCUCUACAGGUAUCUCCGAAGGUAUUUGUUGAGUUGGCAUAGAUCGAGAUUAGGAUUUGUCACUUCGAGUAUCGGAGAGGUAUCUCUGGGCCCUCUCGAUAAUACACAUCAUAAGCUUGCAAGCAAACGACUAAGGAGUUAGUCACGAGGUGAUGUAUUACGGAACGAGUAAAGAGACUUUCCAGUAAAAAGAUUGAACUAGGUAUGAAGAUACCGACGAUCGAAUCUCGGGCAAGUAACAUACCGAUGGACAAAGGAAAUUACGUAUGUUAUCAUAACGGUUCGACUGAUAAAGAUCUUUGUAGAAUAUUUAGGAGCCAAUAUGGGCAUCCAGGUUCCGCUAUUGGUUAUUGACCGGAGAGGUGUCUCGGUCAUGUCUACAUAGUUCUCAAACCCGUAGGGUCCGCACACUUAACGUUCGUUGACGAUAUAGUAUUAUAUGAGUUAUGUGAUUUGGUGACCGAAUGUUGUUUGGAGUCUCGGAUGAGAUAACGAACAUGAUGAGGAGUCUUGAAAUGGUCGAGAGGUAAAGAUUGAUAUAUAGAACGAUGGUAUUCGGACACCGGAACUGUUCCGGAGGGUACCGGGUACUUGUCGGGUCACCGGAAAGGAGUUUCGGGCACCCCCGGCAAAGAUAUGGGCCUUAUGGGCCAAGUGAGGGAACACACGAGCCCUGGUGCGCCCCUACAGAGGCCAUCCCUAUGAGGAGGAGAAGGAAAGAGGGGAGGGCAAGGAAAGUGUGGAUUAUGAUUCCUACUUCCUUCCCUCUCCCCCCCCUCUUUCCUUCCCCCUCGGUUAUAUAUGGCAGGGGGACGCGCGGCUUGGGAGGGACUCCAAGCAGGAUUCCUCCUACUUGGGCGCCUACUAUGGCUUCUCCUCCCGCCCUCCCACCUAUAUGAGGAGGGGGGCGCCUAGCACACACUAGACAAUUGCCUAGCCGUGUGCGGCGCCACCCUCCACAGUUUACACCCUCGGUCAUAUCUUUGUGGUGCUUAGGCGAAGCCUUGCGAGGAUCACUUAACCAUCACCGUCACCACGCCGUCGUGCUGACGGAACUCAUCUACUACCUCAACGUCUUGCUGGAUCAAGAAGGCGAGGGACGUCACCGAGCUGAACGUGUGCAGAACGCGGAGGUGUCGUGCGUUUGGUACUUGAUCGGUUGAAGCGCGAAGAAGUUCGACUACAUCAACCGCGUUGUGAAACGCUUCCGCUUACGGUCUACGAGGGUACGUAGACACACUCUCCCCCUCGUUGCUAUGCAUCUCCAUGGAUAGAUCAUUGCGUGUGCGUAGAAUUUUUUUGUUUUCCAUGCAACGUUUCCUAACACAAAAAGCAAUGAAUAUGAAGUUGAUUUUGUGACUUUUCGAACAACUUUCGGGUCUCAAACUUAAUUUCCACAAAAGUGAGCUCAUCUAUUUUGGUAAGGCCAUAAAGGAGGAAGUCAGUGCAUGCAACUGUUUGGCUGUGAGGCGGGAUCCCUUUUGUUUACGUACCUCAGGAUUCCCAUUCAUCACCGUAAGCUCACUAAUAAGGAAUGGAAAAUUAUUGAAGACUACUUCGAAAAGAAGCUCAACAGUUGGAAGAGUAAGCUCUUGUCAUAUGGGGGACGACUUACCCUCAUCAACUCUGUCCUUACUAAUCUACCAAUUUCCAUGCUAUCCUUAUUUGAGAUACCUAAACGAGUGUUGAGAACUGAGAAGGCUGGACUUUUAUAGGUCUAGGUUCUUUUGGCAAUGCAAGGAGCAGAAGCGGAAGUACAGACUUGCUAAAUGGACAUUCUGUGUCGGCCUAAGGAUCAAGGUGGAUUGCCAUUGAGAAUCUUGAAAUAAAAAACAAAUGCUUACUUGGCAAAUGGUUGUAUAAGCUACUUAACGAGGAAGGUUUUUUGGCAAGAGUGUUGUUGCAUAACAAAUAGAUGAACUCCAAACCGUUAUACCAACUAGAUGCUAAGCCUACCAAUUCACCGUUUUGAAGGGGCUUGAUGAAGGUCAAGUCACCCUUUUUUAAUAGAGGUUUCUUUAAUAUUGGUGACGGCCAAGUUUUGGGAAAAUACCUUGUUGGGUGACCGUCCAUUAGCUCUACAAUACCCGACCCUGUAUAAUAUUGUGUUUAGAAAAAAUAUAUGAUUUAGUGGCUUCUAUUCUUGGGGAUAUCCCUUUGAGCAUACAGUUUCACAGAGCAAUACUAGGUGGCAAAUGGACUAAGUGGAUUCAUUUGGUUUCCAGAUUGAUGUCGAUUAAUCUAACUCAAAUUUUCAGAUUCAUUCGAGUGGAGGUUAAUCACUAAUGGUGUGUUCACUGUGAAGUCUAUCUAUGUGGAUCUUAUGAAUUCCGGUCCUACUUUUUCGCAAAAAACACAUUUGGAAAAUGAAGGUUCCUUCCAAGAUCAAAAUAUUCAUGUGGUUUUCCAAAGGGAGGUAGUUUUUACCAAAGAUAACCUUGCUAAGCGUAACCGACAUGGCAGCAAAAACCGUUGUUGUUUUUGUGAUUAGGAGGAGGCAACUCAUCAUUUAUUUGUCAUAUCUAUUUUCUAAAUUGAUCAGACACACAAUUCAUAUUAGAUACAAUUUAGAACCACCAACGAGUAUUUCAAAUUUGUUCGGAAAGUGGCAUUCAUCAUAGGCUGAAGGGCCAAAUUCGUGUGGGAGUUUAUGCCAUUCUCUGGGCAACAUGGAAUUACUAGAAGCAUUUUGUCUUUAACAUACCAUCUUCUUUUAAUUUCUCGUAGAUUAUCUACAGAGUUACGCUUUUAAUCUGUAUGUGGUCAUCACUGCAGCGUGUGGAUGGGUGGGGGCUUAUGGCCUCUGGGUGCAGCCGGCUGGAAAUGGUUGCGCGGGGUUUAUUCAACCAGUUUGGCUCGCAAGCCAGUCAUAGAUUAUAUGGAUGAGCUAUGUAAUCUCCGGUUCAACUGCUUGUGGUCGCGUUUCCCAUUUAUUUGUUUCAUUGUCGAGUACCUGGUGGCUUGAACUUAUUUCACGUUUAAUAACAUGUGGUUGUGUGGAUCAUGUGAUGCAGAGGCCGGGAUACUCUCUUUUUUGAAAAAAAAGUUGAUCAACCUUAUGAUUCUUGCUCUAUUAGUGUCUUCUCUAAUGAGAUAGAUGUCUCAUAAUGCACGCAAAGAGGUAAUCUAAGAGCGGCAGUCGCGCCUAAUACAGCCUGAUCACGAUCAUAAAGAGACAUCUCGAUGACUAUUUUCAUUUGAAUUACGGGAUUUUUAGGAUUUGUUUAUUUAUCCAAAAUAAACAAACACAACAACAUGAAGUGACUGGAAUUCAAGAAUCCGAAAACACAUAGGGGAUGUGCAUGCUGCGUCCAUAGAUGUGUGUAUGUCAUUUCUCGAAAAAGAAUUACUGGAAUUUUUUAUCUUCAUCCUUUUCUUCUACCGAGAAACAACUAAAGUUAACCGCGUAAUAAACUUGCUAAAAUUCGAAAUACUAAACCACAUAGUUCUUUUCGUCCUAUUUUCCGUAUCCAAACUACCAGAUCCGUGCACCCGGUAGAGAGGACGUCCUUUGCCUAGGCGACCACAGUACUAGCAUGAGCAUCCAUUAUGUGUUUAUUAGGCUCUAUCAUCGCCGAUACCCCCUUGAUAAAGUCUUGACACAUGCAUAAAUACACGGAUACACUUUUAGAUUCACUCAGACGUACCAACGUACUCACUCAUGAAUCUCAUCUCAUCCCAUUUCCCGUUGGAUUUAACCAUCACCGUAACUAUCCAAGAACGCCAAUGGCUAGCGGCACGUGAAAAGAACAGUGAAAAAAGAAGGAAAAAUUUGAUGAAACGAGAGGCACUUAAAUACGAAGGGAGGAGCCUCCUCGUCUCUUCACUCUCACUCCCCACUCUGCUCCCAGUCCGGCCGCCGCCGCCGCCGCUGACCGCCGUAGGAGACGAGCGUCAGAGAACGCGGCUCUCGCUCACCCAUGCUUCUUGCUUAAGCUUGACACAUCGCUUAGCACGGCAAGUCAGCUGCUGGCUGGUUGCAGUAACGAGAGGCGAAGCGAGAUGCCGGGGAUGGAGGAAGCGGAGGACUACGCGUCGUGCGCCUUCUCGCUCACUUGCCCCGAAGACGGCGCCGAGCUCGGGGACGGCGUCGUGGACGACGGCGACCUCUUCUUCUUCUACUCCGGCGGCGCCGCCGCCGCCGACGAUGAGGACGGCGACAAUGAGUACGUGGAGCAGCUGGUCUCCAAGGAGGCCAGCUUCUGCUCCUCCUCCGACUCGGGCGACGCCGACUGCUCGUCGGCCGCCUCCGAGGACUGGUUCCUGCAGGCGCGCCUCGCCGCCGUCAAAUGGAUCCUUGAAGUGAGCACUCACUCAGCUCCUCGCUCUCCCGAUUAGUUUCUUGGUGCGAGCAUCGACCGAUCGGUCACUGACGCCAUUAGAACCGGCACCUGAUUUGCAUUUGCAGACGCGGGGCUGCUUCGGGUUCGGCCACCGCACGGCGUACCUGGCCAUCGCCUACUUCGACCGCUUCUUCCUCCGGCGACGCGUCGAUGUAAUCAAUCACCGCACCGCCACCGUAAAACAAAUUUAGCCUCUCUGCUUCUUAGGAACGGGAGGAUGAUGUGGUUGUGUGCGUGCCUUGGUGCAGAGGGCGGCGAUGCCGUGGGCGGCUCGGCUCCUGUCCGUGGCCUGCGUCUCCGUGGCGGCCAAGAUGGAGGAGUACUGCGCGCCGGCGCUGUCGGAGCUCGACGCCGGCGGCGGCUACGAGUUCUGCUCCGCCUCCGUCCGCCGGAUGGAGCUGCUCGUGCUGUCCACGCUCGGCUGGCGCAUGGCCGCCGUUACGCCCUUCGACUACCUCCCCUGCUUCUCCUCCCGGCUCGACCGGCACGACGGCCGCGGCGGCGGCGGUCAUGACCCCGCCCGCGUCGCCCUCAAGUCCAUCGGCUUCAUCUUUGCCACAGCCGAAGGUCAUCUUCGUCCUACACAUCUUCUGAAAAGAAAUCUUGCGAUCUUUCUUGCAUUUUGUCUGAUUGAUUUGUGCUGUGUUCAUGCAGCCGGCAGCGUGCUAGAUUACAGGCCAUCUACUGUGGCUGCAGCUGCAAUCUUGGCUGCAUCCUAUGGAGCUCUACUGACCAAAGAAGCACUGGAGUCCAAGAUGGACAAUCUAUCUCCAUCAUGCCCCAUUGAGAAGGUUUCUUGCACAAACUGAAUAACCCUUUUGCAUCACUUUGAUCAUAGUACUAAUGUUUUAUUUGGAUGAUGAAAUGAGCAUUGGAUUUGAACAACCUUUGUCUGUUUCAUUGAUCAGGAGCAUGUACAUGCCUGCUACAGCAUGAUGGUUGGCGACUUGAGGAACAGAAAGAGCAAUGGCAAGAGAUCAUUGCCAUGUUCAGACUCCAAUGAAGUUGCCACCAGUACAUAUGAUUCUGUUCUUGUUGAUGAUGUUGCCGACACCGCCGCCUUCAUGGCCGCGGUGUCGGAGAUGAACAAGCGGAUCAGACUGGAGCCGCCGGGAAUCCAUUGAGAAGCUAGCACCGCCGGGGACACGCAAUUUUUUGUCAGAUGUCUAAGGGGGCUUGGUUUGGAUCUUCAUUUUGUUUUUUCCUUGUUCAAAUUUGUUUAGGUUCUUUCGGCCACUGCCAUGGUUGGCAUUGGCAAUGCUGUUGGAUUGGUUUGGAUUGGUUUGUGAGAGGGGCAAGCGAUGAGCAAAGAUAAGGGCUGGGCUGAGCUUUCCUAAGGAGAGGAGAGCUUCACUGGAGCCCAAUUCCGGUGCCCAAAUGGAGCACAUUUCCUGUGAGAAAUUCACCCCAAAUCUGCACUGUUUUUGGUACGCCAUAGUGGUGGAUGCCAUCUUAGGUUGCAUAUGGUGAGAUGCUAGCUGUUGGAUGCAGUAGUAGCACUGAAAGGCUGGGGGUUUGGCCAUUGUUUAUAGAGCCAAGAAGAAAAAGGUUGCAAGUGGAUGUGUGAUCAGUGAGGAGUGGUGUUCCACUAAGAUGCACUGCACUGUACUUGCAUGGAUGCAUGGGUUACAUUGGUUUGUGACAAGCUCCUUGGGGAGUAGGUUGUAACUUCUGUAACAUCUGCUUCUGUUCUUGAGAAAUGGGAUCAGAUUGGUGCAUUUUGUGUAUGUGUGUAUGCAUGCAUGUGUUGGCCUUGAUGACCCUGUGGGUUUCUUGAUCAGUUCUGCUGCAGGGUUUUCAGUGCCAUUCAUUGAGUGCUGUGCCAAUGUUUUCUCCUCCUCUUCCUCUCCCUUUUUGCAGAGAUGAGAAUCCAAGACAACUUUUCCUGUUACAUUGCCACCAGCUUUGAAUAGCACUUGCUUGAUU